GAGGAGGAAGAAUUGGUAGAUUUAUCCGCAGCAGUCAUGGCAAAUUUCACAGAGAGUUGAAAGAGAAGACGAGAAAGAUCUGUUUGGCAGGAAAGAAAAUUGCCAGAAAAUCAAGAACAUGAAAGUGGGAGAUCAACGUCGAUAGACUCUAGCGAUGAUACCAUAUAGAAAGUAAAAUCUUUGUGAGUAAGAAAACUGAAUCUUAGAGAGAGAGAGAGAGAGAGAGAGAGAGAGAGAGAGAGAAUGUAGAGAGAGAGUGAGAAUUGUGAAACUGUUUUCCAUUACACAUUGUAUUCUCUGUACAUGAAGUAUUUAUACAUAAAUACCAAAGCUAACUAUUUUAGGUGACCUAGCAUUCCCCUAACUAACACAUAGACUAAAGAUCUAAUCUGGUGCUUUACACCUUUGAUAACCGUGUGAACCUUCAGUACUCUUAACAGGAUGUCCCUUGCAAAGAAGAAUUCGUAUAGAUUUUCUAGAACCCCAGUUCGGCCUACCCAACUGAUAUAAUCUAGAAUACACUCUCCGUGCGCAGGCGCCAAUACCGGUUGAAGACCCAAAGGCCACAAAAAGUAAAAUUAUCAAGCAAAUGAAAGAGCUUUACCCCAGCACCCGCUUGUCCCCAGCCCAACUAAGCAAGUAGCCAUUCUCCCAUUGAUUCCUAUGAAUAUAGGAAACUUGUAUUUCUCAUUCACAAAUCUUUCUUUGUUACUAAAAACAAAAGAGGAAACACAGUACCAAAUACCUCAGCAAUCAUUGGUAUAGUUUAUUUAUGAUUUUGUGUUGAACUUGGUAAACGAACAAAAAUGUGGUCUUUCCGGAAAUGUUAAACAAAAGCUUUUCCAAUCACAUCUCGGUCACUUUUACUUUUUUGUUAUUUUGUAAUCCCAAGGGUAUGUUACCUUAUAGCUUUACAGUUACAAGUCAUUUUCUCAUUACUUUGGGUCUCUCAUUUUCUAUUUUUAUUGGCAUUACUAUAGUGGGAUUUCAAAGAAAUGGGCUUCAUUUUUUAAGCUUCUCAUUACUUGCAGGAGUCCCAUUGCCGUUGGCACCUGUAAAUUUUUUAAUGAAUGAAUCGUAUGAGUUGGAUUGAUAGACCUUCCUUACCAAUUCUGCGGGUGCUCGAAUUUUCUCAUUCGAAUAGAAAAGGGGUUUGAAACCUUGAUUCCCUUAUGUAUUUACGGCGAAGGUGCUGCAAUAACGCAUGUGGUUGGUACAAUAAUAUAGUAGAACGCGCCUCUUUUGUCGGAUUUUUAUAUUACAGUACAGCCUGAUUUUCACAUCUCUCCUGAUCAGCUAUUUACUCCCCUCAUCCCACAUGUUGAAGAAUUAUCCGUUGAUAUCUUAACCUAUAAAUAGAUAAAGACUUUACUAUAAUAAAAUAAGGCUCCGCAUCGUGCAUUUGCUGAGGCAGACCGAUCUGGCAUUUUUAAAAAGGGAAGGGAACUUCUCACCGGAAGAGGCAGUAGGAAAAGAGGAGGCGGGAAGCUACCGCUUCAUAGGAGGUUGUAUUAAUCAGAGACGGAACUAGCCCCCUUGAUUAGUGAGAGAAUUAUCUGGAUAGAUUUGCCACCAACGCAGAAUCAAAGGCAAGAGACGUCGAAAGCUUCAGUCAACAGAGUCAUAGAAGCAAAUAGCAACGAAACAGAAGAAGCAAGUCUUGCGUAGAAAAAGCCACUUAGUACUACGAUUUAGUAUAUUCAUCUUUAUUUGUAGGUAAGAGGUAUUAUGUUUGAUUUUCGUUAAAAAUGAAUUUGAACUACGUUAUUGAUAGCUCAUUGUAAGGCUUAACCUACUCCUCCUAUAUAAAUAAUAAUGUUGUUAAAAAAAAAAAAAAGCAUUGCGCAAAAAUGUUCAUAAAUUUAGAGUUUCCAAUCGGUUAAAGAUGAGGAAUUUGUUAUAUGGAAUCAUUUUUAUUAUCAGUUACUCGGUUUGAAAGAUAGAUUUAUAUUUAUUAAUAUAUUUUUUCGCUUUCUGGCAACUCGAUUUGGGGUGUGGAAAUGGAUUAAUGUUUGAUUUGGGUUAAAUGUCAACAUUUUUUUUGUGGGGUGGGGGGAGGGGGGAAUUUUAAAGUGGAUUAAUCGUUUUAGGGGAAAUUUUAAAACCAAUAAAGUGUAGGGUAUUCGUGUUGUUUUCGUGAUAUAACUGAUAUCUAAUGUGUCGUAAGUUAAAAUGAACUGGUAAUAUGACUCGAUCCGCUAAUAUUAAUGGGUAAUAUGAUCUGACCCGAUUUCCAUAAAAGGCUAAAUUGGAUUAAUGGUCCCCUUGGUGAGAGGAUAAUCGGAAGAUAACCCCCGUGAUGAAAAAAUUCGGAUUUAAACCCUCGUGAUGAACUCCGUUAGGAUUUAAGCCCAAAAUUAACAUUUAUGUGAACUCUCCUUUAACCCAAAAUUAACAAUCCCACCCUUCCCCCAAGGAUUUCAUUGGAUUUUAAAACCACGAAGUCUGCUGCGUUCAAUCUCAAUUUGUCCUGCAUUUUUCUCCUUGCGUCGUAUUUGAAUAGCUGCAACAUCAAUCUUUUGAUUAGAAAAGCAAAAGAAGAAAGAAAAAUUGUGUGAGCGUUGAGAUAGAGAGUGCAAUCAAAGCAGCUACAUUCUCACCAUCAAAUAAAUGGCACCAAAAAAAUCCAAAUCCAUCUCCCAUCCAAAAGAGAAACCCAUUUUCAUGUUUCUUCAGUCUCCAUAGACGCAUCCAAUAGAAGAAACCCAUUUCCCUGUAAAUGAAGAAACCCAUUUCCCUGUAAACGUAUUUUGGAUUUUCAUCGCCAAUUUUCUCCUCCUAUUGUUUAUAAUUGUAAUAUUCAUUUUCGUUUUGCUUUUUGCAAGCAAAAAAUCACAAUCCUUCUGUAAUCUGACAAUUGAAAGAUCUUCUUUGAAAUCAUUUUUUUUUCUCAAAUGGGCAUAUUUAGGGAAUUCAUUGAUUAAUGGACAAAAGAUAUUUGAAUGGAAUCAAAAGCAUGGAUCAACGAAUUCAUAGCCUUGGAUGAAUGAGUUUUUUUUUUUUUUUUGGUUAUGAAGGUUGAAUGGGUUAGCAGACAGAUGAGGAAGAUGUUAAUUUUGCACUUAAAUCCUAACAGAGUUCACCACGAGGGUUUAAAUCCGAAUUUUUCACCACGGGGGCUAUCUUCCGAUUACCCUCUCACCACGGGGACCUUUAAUCCAAUUUGGCCAUAAUAAAAUGAAAAAUGUAAUUCUAAAAAUGUAAGUUAGAUCAAAGAAUCUAACAGAAAAAAUUAAUCUCACUUAUAUGGCUAUUCUUGUAGUAAGAUCUUUAAUAGUUUUUUAAGGGGUUUUCUAACUUUAAUCUUUGAAAAAUAUUGAAAUUUAAAAUAAAUCUGGUGUUAGAUUACAUAUUGAUUAUAUUCUCCUGAUGUGUCCUUGAUUCAAAAUAAUUAAUGUGUAUUUUAUUCAAUGUCUCUCAUUAAAUAUUUAAAUUUUUUAAUAUACACAUUUUAUUUUUAUUUUUUUGACCAAAUUUUUUUUUCAAUUUAUUAAUUUAUUUAGCCUUCUUCAAACUUGAAAGACUCAAUUAAUGUACCUAAAUGUUAGUACUGAAAUAUAUUAUAUUAAAUUAAUGAACCUAAAUGUGUGUGUGUGCCGAAAUGUGUGCACCGAAAUGUAUGUACCAAAAUAUAUGUACCAAAAUGUAUUAUGUCCUUGAUUCAAAAUAAUUAAUGUGUAUUUUAUUCAAUGUCUAUCAUUAAAUAUUUAAAUUUUUUAAUAUACACAUUUUAAUUUUUUUUUGACCAAAAAUAGUUUUUUCAAUUUAUUUAGCCUUAUUCAAACUUGAAAGACUCAAUUAAUGUAUCUAAAUGUUAGUACCAAAAUGUAUUAUAUUAAAUUAAUGAACCUAAAUGUGUGUGUGUGCCGAAAUGUGUGCACCGAAAUGUAUGUACCAAAAUAUAUGUACUGAAAUGUAUUAUGUCCUUGAUUCAAAAUAAUUAAUGUGUAUUUUAUUCAAUGUCUCUCAUUAAAUAUUUAAAUUUUUUAAUAUACACAUUUUAAUUUUUUUUUACCAAAAAAGUUUUUUCAAUUUAUUAAUUUAUUUAGCCUUAUUCAAACUUGAAAGACUCAAUUAAUGUACCUAAAUGUUAGUACCGAAAUGUAUUAUAAAUUAAUGAACCUAAAUGUGUGUGUGUGUGCCGAAAUGUGUGCACUGAAAUAUAUGUACCAAAAUGUAUGUACCGAAAUGUAUUAUAUUGAAUUAGUAUACCUAAAUAUUUGUAUUGAAAUAUAUGUACCAAAAUGUGUGUACCUAAAUGUAUGCACCAAGAUGUAUGUACCGAAAUGUAUAUACCUAAAUGUAUGCAACGAAAUGUAUUAUAAUAAAUUUAGUGUACCUAAAUGAAGAAAACAAAGUAUAUUGAAAUGUAUUGUAUAACAAAAAUUAGUUUACAACAAAAUAUUUUACGAUGAAUGAAAUGAACUUUUUUGCCCACCAAGUAGAACUUGUCAUGUUCCUUCUUCUCUCAUUUCUUGUGGUUUGGGUUUCUUUGCCCACCAAGUAGAACGAGUAUUACUAUCUGCAUGACUGAUUACAACCACCUGACUUUUGUCUUAUUUAUGUUGACUGACUAAUAAAUUUUUCACGACGACGUUGUCUACCGUCUUGGUGGGGGAUGGAUGUUGACUCUUGACUGAUCAUAGAUCAAUUCAUGCUUUUGAUCGACAUACAUUUUUCCAUAACGACUUUGUAGGUCUGGAUGUAGAAAAAUGACUUGACUCACUUGUAAAUUACUGUUUAUUAAUGUGCAUAUAAAUAGCACUCUAAAUUACUCAUUACUCACAUCCAUCACUUACUUGAUAUCUGUAUGGUGAGAGUCAUGAUACUUGUUUCCAUACUCGGCUUUCUUCUAUCCAUUGCGUCUUUUACACUCGGUUUAUGCAAUGGAAACCUGAAUGUACCUUGCAUAGAAAGUGAGAGACAAACACUUCUUAUGUUCAAGAAAGAUAUUGAUGAUCCGUGGAAUCUGCUUUCCUCUUGGGCUUGUGAAGGCGAUUGUUGCAACUGGACCGGUGUUGUUUGCGACAAUUUAACCGAUCACGUCCAUGAGCUCCACCUUGCUGGUUAUUCUGAUCAAAAGCUUGGUGGUAAGGUAAAUCCUUUUCUACUCAAUUUAAAGCAUCUUAGCCACUUGGACUUAAGUCGCAAUAAUUUCAAAGGACUGCAGAUUCCUAGCUUUUUAGGUUCUCUUAGAGGUUUAAGAUAUCUUGAUCCCUCAGAUGCAGGGUUCAACGGAACCAUUCCUCAUCAGUUGGGAAAUCUCUCAAGUCUACGUUAUCUCGACCUUUCUUACAACGUAGUUCGAUGGUCGAGAAUCUCGAAUGGCUCUCCGGACUUUCUCUGUUGAAACAUCUUAACAUGAGUCUUGUAGAUCUUACCCACGCAAUUCAUUGGUUACAAGUAAACACACUCCCUUCUCUGCUGGUAGAGUUACAUUUGGCCAGAUGCGAACUUUGUUGUGCGGAAGCGGCAUUCGACUAUACGUGAAAAAGUAAAACAGAACAGAAUAAAACCAACAUCAACAAGAACACCAAGAUUUAUACUGGUUCGGCAAUGCCUACAUCCAGUUUGGAGACGACGGAGUAUUCCACUAUAAUCAAUGAGAACAUACAAUAGUGUUUAUCACUCAAUUUCCCAAAGACCCGAAGAACCCAAGCUCUCACACUUACAAUAGGAAGAGAAAACCAAAAAUACAAAGCAAGACAAUUUGAGAAAGUUCUUCUAUAUGCCGAAUGGCUUCUUGCUAUUUUUCUCUCUUCCUUGUUGUUCACCUCUCAAUACUUAUGGGCUGCACCUUGCUCCCCUUUUAUAGCCAAAGAAAAGCUUCUCAAAGACAUCAAUGGCCAAAGGCCUGCCUAUCAAGUCAAAAAAGAGUUAGGCACAAUUUGUUUCCCACAUGUAGCAUGCCAACCAACAAUUUUGACCACAAAAGUAGCCGAAAUCAAUUGUUGGUUUUAGACUACUUUUGUUUGAGCCAAUAAUCAACAAUCUCCACCUUGGCUCAAACCCUCUAAGUAAAACUCCUAAUAGUCGUCUCCCAAUCCCCCAUGGGGCAAUCAACAAAUUUUACAAAUGCCAAUCAAGUCUAAGCAGUGCUUAAACUUGUGCAAUGAAACUGGCUUUGUUAACAUAUCCGCAGGAUUGUCAGCGGUCCCAAUCUUCUGAAGAAGAAUAUCUCCCUCGUCAAUAACCUCACGAACAAAAUGGAACCUCACGUCAAUGUGUUUCGUACGUGCAUGAUGAACUUGAUUCUUUGCUAAAUGAAUAGCACUCUGACUAUCGCAAUGAACAUCCACAUGGUCUUGUUGAACCCCUAAGUCAUCAAGCAACCCUUGAAGCCAGAUAGCUUCCUUUAUAGCUUCUGUCACAGCCAUGUAUUCUGCCUCAGUAGUCGACAAAGCAACUGUAGAUUGCAGAAUCGACCUCCAACUUACUGGACCUCCAGCAAUAGUGAAUACAAAACCAGUAGUGGACCUACGCUUGUCCAAAUCACCUGCGUAAUCAGAAUCCACAUAUCCAACAACACAUUGACCAGUAACUUUAUCCUGCUGGAACAAUAAACCAACAUCCACAGUACCCAGAAUAUACCGUAGAAUCCAUUUCACAGCUUGCCAAUGCCCUUUUCCUGGAUUAUGCAUAUAUCUACUGACAAUACUAACAGCUUGUGAAAUAUCAGGCCUAGUACACACCAUAGCAUACAUCAAACUACCAACAACAUUUGCAUAAGGAAUUUGAGCCAUGUACUGACUCUCUUCAACAGUUUUAGGAGACAUAGAAGCGCUAAGUUUGAAAUGAGAGGCAAAAGGUGUACUAACCGGUUUUGAAUUUUCAUUCAUCCUGAAACGUUGUAGUACCUUCUUCAAAUACUGCUUCUGACACAGACUAAUCUUGCCCUUCGCUCUAUCCCUUUCAAUUUCCAUACCUAGUAUCUUCCGAGCUUCUCCCAAGUCAUUCAUCUCAAAUUCAUUACUUAGUUGAGUCUUCAACCUUUCAAUCUCCACUUUGCUCUUACAUGCUAUAAGCAUAUCAUCAACAUAUAAAAGCAGAUAAAUGAAGGUUCCAUCUUGUAGUUUGCGAAAGUAUACACAAUGGUCAUAAUGACUUCUUGUGUACUUUUGCCCGAUCAUAAAUCCAUCAAAUCGUUUGUACCAUUAUCUUGGAGACUGCUUCAAGCCAUACAAUGAUUUUUCCAAUUUGCAAACCCAAUUUUCCUUUCCAGCAACCUUAAAACCUUCUGGCUAAGACAUAUAAAUCUCUUCCUCCAAAUCACCAUGUAAGAACGCAGUCUUGACAUCAAGUUGGGCCAACUCAAGGUCAAACUGCACAACCAAAGCCAACAAAAUACGAAUAGAAGAAUGUUUUACUACAGGAGAAAAUACCUCAUUGUAGUCAAUGCCUUCCUUCUGAGCGUAGCCUUUAGCUACCAAUCUGGCUUUGAAUCUUACAUUGUCUUUUCCCAAAGAUUCCAUCUUUUUGGCAUACACCCAUUUACAACCAAUUUCUUUCUUCCCCUUUGGUAACUGAACCAGCUUCCAAGUCUUAUUUUUAUGAAGAGAUUUCAUCUCCUCAUCCAUAGAUUUCUUCCACAACUCGCACUCUGAACUCAUGACAGCUUCUUUGUAGGCGGAUGGAAUAUCAUCUUCAAUAACGGGAAGUGCAUAUGCCACAAUAUUAGUAAAUCGAGCAGGCUUUCGAAUUUCCCUUCUCGAUCUUCUGGUUGCAAUAUAGUCUUGUUGCUGUGGAGGCUCUUGGGUAGGUGCCUCCUCUUCAUCAUCCUCGUCCUCAUCAUCAGAAUUAACUGUAGGACUAGUGUUUGAAACAUCAGACCUUACUGGAACAACUGGAGUCUUCAGUAACUCCACCUGCUUUGAGCUCCUCAUGGUUUUGGUCGCUUCAGUUUCGCCUUCAUGCUUGUUCUGAUUAACCAUAGCAGCCUCAUCAAAAGUCACAUCUCUGCUUACAACAAAUUUCUUCUCAUCUGGACACCAGAGUCGGUAUCCCUUCACGCCAGUGCUAAAGCCCAUAAAUAGAGCUUUCUUUGCUCUUGGAUCCAACUUGCUUUCUCUGACAUAAUAGUAAGCAGGACAACCAAAUAUGUGUAAAAACUUGUAAUCAGUACAAGGUUUACCAGACCAUACCUCCAUGGGCGUUUUGCCCUCAUUCGCAGCAGCUGGCAAUCGAUUAAUGAGAUGGCUUACAUAAGUGAGUGCCUCAGCCCAAAACGCCUUGCCUAAUCCAGCAUUAGACAACAUACACCGAACUUUCUCAAGCAAAGUACGGUUCAUGCGCUUCGCCACCCCAUUCUGUUGCGUGUCUCCCUAACCGUGAAGUGCCUCACAAUACCCUCAUCUUGACAAACUUUCAAGAAAUGAUCAGACUUAUAUUCACCCCCAUUGUCUGAUCUGAGAGUCUUGAUCUUUCGACCGCUUUGCGUUUCAAUCAUCUUUUUCCACUUCAGGAAUAUCUUCAAGACUUCAUCUUUACGCUUCAUGGUGUACACCCAUAUUCUUCUAGAGAAGUCAUCAACAAAGGAGACAAAAUAAUGGCUACCUCUCCAAGAUGCAUUCUUGGAAGGUCCCCAAACAUCAGUGUGAACAUAAUCAAGAAUGCCUUUAGUGUGGUGAAUAGCAGUGCCAAAUUUUACUCUAGUUUGCUUACCCAACACACAAUGCUCACAGAAUUCCAAUUUGCAUGCCUUUGCACCUUUCAAUAAGCCUUGCUUCACCAAUCCUUGCAACGCUUUUUCACCAGCAUGCACAAGACGCAUAUGCCAUAACCUCGUGGUAUCUGAGCUAUCUGCGUCAGUAGCUUCGGUGACAGCUGCUCCACCAAUAACUGUAUUCCCCUGUAAGAAAUACAAGUUAUUUCGUCUUGUACCUUUCAUCACCACCAGUGCCCCGUACACAGCUUUAAGAACUCCACCCUCCAUGGUGAUCUUGAGACCCUUGGAUUCCAAUGCACCCAGUGAGAUGAGAUUUUUCUUCAUAUCCGGUACAUACCGAACAUCACUUAAUUCUCUGACUGUUCCAUCAUGCAUCUUCAAACAGAUUUUGCCUAUCCCUUGUGUUUUGCAGGCAUUAUUAUUACCCAUCAAAACAACUCUACCAUCCAGCUCCUCGAAAUUAGAAAACCAUUCCCGAAUGGGACAUAUAUGAUAGGUGCAACCUGAAUCCAAAAUCCACUUAUUGGAGUGACCAUCAGCAUAUGAACUAGCCAAAGCAAACUCGAAAUCAUCAUCAUCUCCAGAUUUUGCAAUAUUUGCUUCAGAACCCGCUUUCUCCUUCUCUUUGUUCUUCAAUUUGGGGCAGUCUUUCUUCCAAUGACCCUUUUGGCGACAAAAAGCACAUUCAUCUUUAGCAGGAAACUUCCCUCGUGACUUUGAACGAGAUUUUCCCCGCUUCCCAGAUUUUCUUUCCUCUGUUCGACCCCUUGCAACAAAUGCCUCGGUUUGUGAAUUGUGAGUCUUCAGUUCCUUCUUACGACACUCAUGAUUCACCAAUGCCGCAGACACCUCAUCAAGUUUCACCUCGGAUUUUCCAUACAACAGAGUAGUUGUCAAAUGAUCAUAAUCAUCAGGCAAUGAAUUUAACAAACAUAGUGCCUUGUCCUCGUCAGGAAUUUUCACAUCAAGGUUUGCUAAAUCAGCAAGUAUUUUAUUAUAAUCAUUGAGGUGUUCGUGCAUAGAGAUACCUGGACGAUACUAAAAUCGGAAGAGUCACUUCUUCAAGAAGAGACGAUUUUCUGCGAUCUUGGUCAUAUACUUCUCCUCCAAUUUCGUCCAUAACUCCUUAGCAGAAGUUUCCUUCAUAUACGGGUAUUUCAACUCCUUAUCAAGGAAUGAUCGAAUAGCAGCACAAGCAUGAAGAUUAAUUCGCGUCCACUGCUUGUCAUCAAUAUCUUCUGGUUUAUCUUCCAGAACCAUAUCCAACUCUUGUUGAUAACACAUCCAUAACUUCACAUUGCCACAUACCAAAAUUAUUAGAGCCAUUGAAUUUAUCAACCUCUAACCUUGUAGUAGUAGAUGGAUGUCUAUUGGAUGAAGACGAUGCUGACCCCUUCUUUACAGAUUCAUCUUUAUCUCCAGCCAUCUACUCGGCACUAUUCACAAAUAUGGCACUGUUCACAGGUACAAUACCGUUCACAGAUACUGUAGCAGUUCACUGUUCACGGAACUGUAGCGCCAACACUAUUCACGGAACUGGGCUCUGAUACCACUUGUUGUGCGGAAGCGGCAUUCGACUAUACGUGAAAAAGUAAAACAGAACAGAAUAAAACCAACAUCAACAAGAACACCAAGAUUUAUACUGGUUCGGCAAUGCCUACAUCCAGUUUGGAGACGACGGAGUAUUCCACUAUAAUCAAUGAGAACAUACAAUAGUGUUUAUCACUCAAUUUCCCAAAGACCCGAAUAACCCAAGCUCUCACACUUACAAUAGGAAGAGAAAACCAAAAAUACAAAGCAAGACAAUUUGAGAAAGUUCUUCUCUAUGCCGAAUGGCUUCUUGCUAUUUUUCUCUCUUCCUUGUUGUUCACCUCUCAAUACUUAUGGGCUGCACCUUGCUCCUCUUUUAUAGCCAAAGAAAAGCUUCUCAAAGACAUCAAUGGCCAAAGGCCUACCUAUCAAGUCAAAAAAGAGUUAGGCACAAUUUGUUUCCCACAUGUAGCAUGCCAACCAACAAUUUUGACAACAAAAGUAGCCGAAAUCAAUUGUUGGUUUUAGACUACUUUUGUUUGAGCCAAUAAUCAACAAACUUUAUCACAUCCCAAGUGGUAUUGCGAACUUGACAAGUCUUAAAGUUCUUGAUCUAUCCGAUAACUAUUUCAACUCUACCAUACCUACAUGGUUGUACAGUUUGAACCAUCUUGUGUCCCUUGAUCUUUCUUUGAAUGCUUUCCAUGGUGAAAUUUCUAGUUCCCUUGGAAACUUGACAGCCCUUGUUGAUCUUCAAUUAGGUUCUAAUCAGCUUGAAGGGGAAAUCCCAGACUCAUUGGGAAAUCUUUGUAAGUUGACUUCUUUUGAUCUAUCGUCAAACAAUUUUAUGGGGAGGGUAUCAGAAAUCUUUGAAAGUUUGUCUCAGUGUAGUUAUGGACGAAUAGAAUUUUUAUAUCUUUUGGAUAAUAAGUUUUCAGGUCAUUUAUCUGAUCAGCUAUGAAGUCUUAAAAACUUAUUUCUUAUUGAUCUUUCAAGUAAUUCAAUAUCAGGUUCCAUUCCAGUGUCCUUAGGAAAUCUAUCAGGCUUAUACGAGUUGGUCAUUGAACACAAUUCAUUCGAGAGUGUUGUCUCUGAAGUUCAUUUUACUAAUCUUACAAGAUUGAAAAUCUUUAUUGCAAAUGAGAACUCCUUGACUCUUAAAACCAGCCCAGAUUGGGUUCCUCCUUUUCAACUUGUUGAGUUGAGUUUAAGUUCUUGGCGUCUGGACCCAUCAGAGUUGCCUACAUGGCUUCAAAGUCAAAAAUAUUUGUCUGCUCUUAAUAUGUCCAAUACAGGAAUUUCAGGUACCAUUCCGACUUGGUUCUGGAACAUCUUUUCGUAUGGUGGAGAAAACUAUGUGGAUCUCUCUUAUAAUCAGUUGUCUGGCGAGGUUCCAAACAUAGUUUCUGCCAACUGGUGAAAACCAAAACAACAUUCCGAUUCAAAAAUCAUGAUUGACUUCAGGUCGAAUCAAUUCAAAAGUUCAUUGUCUCUUGUGUCUUCAGCAGUGUCUACACUUGAUCUUUCCACUUCAUCAUUUUCAGGAACUCUCUCUCACUUCUUUUGUGAUAGGAGUGAUGUACCUAAAAACCUUCAAGUUCUUCAUCUUGAUAACAAUUUCCUCGUUGGAGAAAUUCCUGAUUGUCUAUUAAAUUGGCCAAAUUUAGAUAACAACAAUUUGACAGGGAAAAUUCCAAGCUCUAUCGGGGACUUACUUUCCCUUCAAUCAUUGCACUUGCGCAAUAAUAACCUAUCUGGAGAAUUACAUGUGUCCCUACAAAACUGUAAGCAGCUGUUACUUCUUGACCUUGGUGGAAACAAGUUUGUUGGAAGCAUUCCAAUAUGGUUUGGGCAAAGCUUGGUAGUUCUUAGUCUUCGUUCAAAUAAGUUCCAUGGCGACAUUCCUGAUGAACUCUGUAGUCUCAUAAAUCUUCGAAUCUUGGACCUUGCGCAUAACAAUCUCUCGGGAACGAUAACAAGAUGUUUCCAACAUUUGUCAUCCAUGGCCAUAGCCACAUCAUUUGAGUUGGACAAUCGGUCUGUAGGAUUUGGUAGCCCUGGCAUUAUCCUAUUUUCUGCUGGGGAUAGUUAUCUAGAGCAUUUUGUGGAGGCCUACACAGAGAAUGCAGUUUUUGUGACCAAAGGCAGAGAAAUGGAAUAUACCACAAUGCUUGGUUUGGUGGUUGGCUUGGACCUUGCAAGCAACAUGUUAUUUGGAGAAAUCCCUCAAGAGCUGACCAGUCUCAUUAGCUUACAAACAUUGAAUUUAUCCAACUAUCGUCUGACAGGAAGAAUCCCUUCCAAAAUCGGUGAUAUUGGGCUAUGUCUUCCACUUCAGCUGAACUUGAUUGGAUACAACAACUUCUUCAAUUUCUGCACAUCAAACUUCCAACAGCUCUAGUUAUCUUUUGUGACAAUUUGUCCGCAAUAGCCCUGUCAUUCAAUCUUGUUCAACAUCAGCUUACGAAAUACAUUGAGAUAGAUGUUCAUUUUGUGCAUGAACGGGUUGCCAAACAUCAUCUCAUGGUUCAGUUUGUAUCUUCCAGGGAGCAAUUUGCAGAUAUACUAACAAAAGGACUUAGUUCUCCUUUGUUUCGGUUUCAUUGUACCAAUCUCAUGCUUGGUUCAUCCAAACCUGAGAUUGAGGGGGGAUGUUAGGAUAUAUAUUAGUGUUAUGAGAUUAUGACACUUGACAACAGAUUGUGCAUUUAGUUAGUUAGUUAGUUUGUUACAUGUAUUUGGCUUCUAUAUAAGUCUAAGUGUAAUGACUUCCUGUGUAAGAAAUAUACACAAUAAUACAUUCAUCUCUCUCUCUCUUCUUACUUUCUCUCUCUAAGUUCUUGAUAAUUCUCUCUGAUAUAUCUGUAUACAUAUUAACAGGUCUAACGGAUUGAGUUUUGCAUGGUUCCCUUGAAGCCUACCUUUACAUACAUGAAGAUUAAAACUUGCAGACUCGCAAACCAGAAAAGAAUAAGACUUCCAGAAAUACUAAUUAAAAUUUAAUAACUAACUUCAAAUUAUUACUAGACUAAUUUUCCAUAAGAAGAUAAAAGACAAACACAGAAAAUGGAGCUACAGAGUUCUGGAGUUGUUUCCUAAGGCGGGAUGCGGGAGAGAGAGGAAAAUGGGGGCGGAGAGAAGAAGAGAAGGGACAAUAUGGUGGGCCCUACCUCUAUGAUUUGCUUACUUGUCGGAUAACUAUAACUUCAUCUAUUUUUAUGAAGGAAGAGACAAGGAAGAAAAGAGAGGGAAUAGACAACGAAAUUGCUGCCUACCCUAAAAUCAACAUGCCAGCGUCGACAUGCUACUCAAUCCAUGUCCAUGUCCUCCCGCGCCACCCAUCCAAAACCACCCAUACUCAUUGGCCUUCAACCGUGCCCCGUCACAAUUUUAUUUAAUUGCUCCAUAAUAUUACGCACUAAAUUCUAUAUUACUCUAAUUUACAGGGUGGGGGAUUUGAACUUCGGUGCAAUACUAUGGGGACUUUGCCUCGGCCAACUGCUCCAACCCACGUUUGCUAUCGCUCUUUAGAUAGCUGAAUAUUGGCUUAGCAGGUACUGGUAUGAACUUGAAAACCCAACUAAUUGGCCAAGAUAUGGCUGCAAUCCCAAUGCAUGCACCCCAUUGUCCCCAACUUAACCGCUCUGUGUUUGCAAACUUGUUCAGAAGUUCCACCAUCACCACCUGAACUGCAAUUGUUACAACGAGGAUGCCCCAAAACAGCCUGUUCCCCUGACUCCCUUUGAAGAUAUUAAUCCUCUCCAUAUCCCUUGAAUUAAGCUCAUUAAACACUUGGCAAAACACAAAUACAUUGAAGAUCAAUGUGUUGUUUACCGUCUCACUAACACCAAAUAUUGAUCUGCCUUUGAACUGCAAGACCAAGAGCACAACUAUCUGGAACAAAGCUUGGGGUAAAAGGUUCCUCCACAUGAUGUUGGUGAUCACGGGAUCCGUCUGACCCACGGGUGGCUUUUCCAUGAGCUCUUUGGUGGGCUUAUCGGUGGCGAGAGCCAGAGCCGCCAUUGUGUCCAUAAUCAGAUUCACCCACAGUAGCUGGACCGCUGUUAAAGGUACUUCGCCAGCCGAGGCAGCUGCCACAAAGUUGACCACAAGAGUUGCAACAUUUAUUGUGAGCUGGAAUUGAACAAACUUUUGGAUGUUGGCAUAAACUCCUCUUCCCCACUUUAAAACAGUCACCAAAGUUGCAAAAUUGUCAUCUAAAAUGACAAUGUCUGAGCUCUCCUUGGCCACUUCCGUUCCCUGAAUCCCCAUCGAGAGUCCUAUGUCCGCUUCUUUGAGUGCGGGUGCAUCAUUCGUGCCAUCACCUGUCACAGCUACUACAUUGCCUUUCUGUUUCAAGCAUUGCACCAUAAGAAGCUUAUCAAAUGGCGAAGACCUCGCCAUCACGUGAAUUCCAUCAACUUUCUGCAUUCUUUGCUCCGGCGUGAAGUUGCGAAAUUCUAUACCUUCUACCACUGCUUCCUUGGCUUCCUGGUCAGGCCGGAGUAUCCCGCACUCGCUAGCUAUUGCUUUAGCGGUGAAAACAUUGUCACCGGUGAUCAUUUUCACCUGCACCCCAGCUAACUGGCAAGCUUCUACUGCUUCCCUCACUCCUGGCCUACAUGGAUCCUUUAGACCUACCAAUCCUACGAGGAUCAAGUUGCUUUCUUCGAGCUUUUCGUACUUUUCGUCAUUAAUGUGCUUAUUCUGAACUUGUUUGUGUGCAAAAGCAAUGCAUCGGAGACUGCUUGCUGCCAUGCCUUGAAUAAUCUUCUCAAACUUCAGCCUUUCAUCAUCAUUCAGAUCUUUCGUGACACCAGACGCAUCGUAGUAACUCGAGCAUAUUUCUAGUAUCAUUUCUGCAGCUCCUUUCCAAUGUACAUGGGUAGUAUUGUCGGCCUUCCUUCUCAUCAAAACCCCACUUCGUUUCUUGUGCGAAUUGAAGACUUCAACAUGUUGAAUGACACAUUGCUUCUUCAAUUUCUCCAUGUCCAUGUGCAGCUCUAGAGUAGCCCAUGAAAGAAUGGCUUUUUCAGUAGGACUGCCCGAAAACUCAAAUCCCGAUCCUGAACUAGGCCUAUAAACACUACCAGUUGUGUUAAACGUUACUCCUUCUCGGAUUAAAUCGAGAAGGCAAUCAGAAAUUGAUGAAUAACCAGCAUCAUCUUCCACAGAUUCCUGUCCAAGCCAAAACUUUGUAACCUUCAUCUCGUUGAGCGUCAGUGUGCCCGUCUUGUCUGUACAAAUUACGGUGGCACAUCCCAUAGUUUCGCAAGCAGAGAGCCUCCUUACCAAUGCUUGGUCCGCCAUCAUCUUCUUCAUCGAAUAAGCGAGAGUCAGAGUGACAGCCAACGGGAAGCCUUCAGGAAUUGCAAUCACGACAAUAAUAACUGCAACUGCUACCAUGUCCACCGCGGCAUUCACCAUAUCAUCAAUCUUUGUCUUGUUGCCCUCAAACUUACCAAAUUCACUGUUGUUCUUCGUGUUGCCUGUGAAGUAACGCGCUACCAAGACCACGAAAACUAGGAAUGCAACACCCAAGCCAAUCUUCGCCAUCAGCGGGGUUAGUUUACUUAGCCGCGCUUGUAAUGGUGUCUGCUGAUCACUGGUGUCACGGCUAAUCAAGCUCAUCAUUUCGCCCCACGUCGAGUUCAUGCCAACUGAAGCCACAAGCAAUUCACCAUAUCCAUCGACCACCUUGGUUCCUGAAAACAAGAACGGAUUCAGGCCGCCAUUAACUUCCACAUGCUCACUUUCCCCCGUCAUGCUUGAUUCGUCCACGCUCAACGAAUGUCCACGCAAGAACAAUCCAUCAGCAGGAACUUGAUCUCCAAUUUUCAAGAACACAACAUCUCCAACAACAAUACCAAGGUUCGAAAUCUGUCGCCGCCUACCUCCUCUCACAACAUCAAUUGGAAUGUCCUCACUUGCUUUGGACAACUUCCGGAACUGCUUGCUCUGCCUGUAGUCACUAAGGGCGGAUACAACCACGAUAAGAAAAACCGCGACAAAGAUGCUUCCUCCGUCAUACCAUCCUUCUUUUAGUCCAUGCUGCUUUAUGCCGAAUCCAAGUGAGAGCGCGGCGCAGCCUAAGAGGAUGACAAUGGUAAGAUCCUUAGAAGCUUGCCACAUAAAAUGGAAGAGGCUUUUUGAAGGCGGCUUCUUGUACGUGUUUGAACCGAAUGCUUCAAGCCGGCGAGCAAUAUUGUCACCAUCAUCGUCGAUGCCACGCUCAGUGUCGGUUUGGAGAGCCGAUACAACGCCAUCAAUGCCUUCGAGCUCUUGAAGAAGGUGUAGGUUUUUCUCCUUCAUGAGUUGAGUGAGGCAUUUGUUAUCAAUUUUGAAGCCAUUGUCGAGGUGACAAAGUUCCAUUGUAAGCUAAAGGCAGAGUUUGAAUGGUUGUGACAGAAUCAGCUAUCGAGAGUAUUAUGUACAGAAUCUCAGAGUCAUAGAACCACCUGAUGUCUUCAUCAGAACAGAAGAAAAGGAAAAAUAUCCAUUGGAAGUUGCUGAGAAAUUGCUUGAACUUAGCAGCUAGCGUUGGCGCUAUUUCUGACCUUAUCUGUAGGGUUGGUGAUUGGCGCACAACCAACAAGUCAUACCGCGACACACCCCACCUGCCUCGUCCAACAUCUAUGUAGAAUCAACCUUGCUUUUCCAACCGUGCCAUAUGCUUUCUUGUUUCUUUCAUUAGCUUUUUACAAGUUAGUGGAAGUUUCUUUUUGCUCCAAAUGGUUAAAUAUAAAUUUUACAUCCGUCAUCCGGGGUAGGCUUUAGCCAAUCAAAGCUAGAAAAUUGUCUUCUGAGUCAGACUCCCCACCGGCUGUUGUGCUUUCUUUUUAUUUUAUUUUUUAUUUUUAGUUUAAGUAUCAGUUAGAGAUAAUUAAGUUUAUAUUCCGCUAGGCAUUAGUACUUAAUUUUAUUUUUUAUUCUUAGCGUAAGAGUUAAUUAGAGAUUGUUAAAAAAGUGUCAGUUAGAGAUAAAUAAGUUUACAUUCUGCUAGUGCUUUAUUUUUAGUGUUGAGUGUCGUUAGAGAAAUAAAUUUAUAUUCUAUUAGUCUUCAUGCACAUGCUAACACAGAUGCAAUGGGCUAUGCCAUCCAAACCAAUUGAGGGAAGUCGCAUCGGUCUCAUCGCAAGCACCUACAAUGUCAUUAUAGAUAUAAAAUGUAGAAGAAUAUCGCUAUGCGUCACGAAUUAGAUGUCAGACACAAUUCAACUUUUUAUUAUUACGGGGGCUACUUGCCACUCAAACCAACUGAGAGAAGUCGCAACCGUCCCAUCGCAAGCACCUACAAUGUCAUUAUAGAUGUAGAAUGUAGAAGAAUCUCGACAUGCGUCACGAAUUAGAUGGCAGACACAAUUUGGCAUUUUUAUUAUUAUAGGGGCUACUUGCCACCCAAACCAACUGAGGGAAGUCGCAUUAGUCCCAUCGCAAUCACCUACAAUGUGAUUAUAGAUAUAAAAUGUAGAAGAAUCUCGCAAUACGUCAUGUAUUAGAAGGCAAAUACAGUUCGGCGUUUUUAUUAUUACAGGAGCUUCUUGCCCCUAAAUACUUUUUUGAAUCACACAUUAUGCACGACUUACAAAAACUUUCUUCGUCACACAUCUAGUAUGCAUUUGUAUUUGCAUAUUUUUGUUAAAACGUUAAACCAAAUGUAUAGUAAGGUAUUAAAUUUUCUAAUUUUGCAUACAUUAUUUCUCUUUACGAACCGUACACAUGAAAAGCCUUGUUUUUAUCACACAUGUCACGUUUGACUUGCAUACUUUUUUUUUUUUUUUACACUUUUGUCCUUGAAAAUGCUCUAGAACACAUCCUAUUUUUACCCUCGCUCAAACAUUGAUUUUGGCUUUUUUUUCCUAUUACACAUUGCAUAUGUUUUUAUUUUUCACUAGCCUCUCCACAUACGCUCACGUGCAUAUAAGAAGCUUUCUUUAAUCACGGGCGUUCGCGCCUCUUAAAAUAUGUUUUGUUAGCGGUUUUCUUUUUCAUAAUAUGUUAUAAAAAGAAAAAUAUACAUUGGAAGUUGCUAAGAAAUUGCUAGAACUUGGCGCUAAUAUUGACAGUAUCUAUAAGGAUGGUGAUUGGUGCCCACUCAACUGAAAUACUUAUUUUACCAUGUAAAUUCAGUUGCUUUAAUUGAUUUCUGAAUAAUUUAAAAAUGGAUGUGUUAAAUUGUGAAUUUCGGUUUCAAAAUCCGUAGCAGAGCGCAAGCAUUUUUAUCAGCUUUGUUUCUAAAGUACCCUUAAACUUUAACACACCACUCCCCUACACACCGAACGCCAAAUCCCCAUGCCUUGUCCAACGUCUAUGGAGAAUGAACCUUGCUUUUCCAACCUCCACCAUGUCAUGUUCUUCUUCCUUCCAUUAGACUUCUACAAGUUAUUGGAAGUGUCGCUUGGUCCAUUUAGUGCUUAGAGAUUUUGCAUACAAUCACCAACUCUGAUUAUUGUCUGUAAAAAGCUUAGUGUAGUUGUACAUGUUGCAUACAAUCAUCAGCUUUAUAUUUGCCUUCCUAUCUAUUGGUCUUUGAAAGACGCACAAUUCAAACUACACGAGAAUCGAAAUUUUUUUUGUUCUAAAAAAGUAUUAGAGUUGCAACUUAGUAUUACGAUCUAGUGACAGUUCUCUUCACUUGUAAAUGAAAGGUCUUGAGUUCAAUUCUCACCAAAGGCGAAUAUGAACCACAUUAUUAAUAACCUAUUGCGAGGCUUUGCCCACCCCCACUCCCUUAGUGUAAAUAAUAUUGUUUGUUAAUAUAUAUAUAUAUAUAUAUAGAGAGAGAGAGAGAGAGAGAGAGAGAGAGAGAGAGAGUUUGUGAGGGUGAAAAUAGAAAUAACUAGAAAUUUAGCCCGUGCGAUGCCAACUUGAUGUGUUAGAAUGGGUAACUAAAUGUGUGUAACUAUUGUGUGUAAAUAUGUACAAAGUAUUUAUACAAAACAUGUACAAAGUAUUUAUAAAAUGUACAUAAUAUUUGUUGACAACUCUACAUACAUAUAAAUAGUUGUUAAAAAUCUAGCUACUCCUAUUUCAUCGAUGUACAAAUUGAUGCUAGCACGAAACUCAUAAGAAAAAAAUGGAGGGAAGGAAAGAGGAAGAGGGAGCUUUACAGGCACCAAGAAAAGCAGAGACAAAACUUAAAUACCGAUGUCAAUCAAUGAAAGCUAAAUAAUCCCCAUCCUGAAGGUUUUAUAUAACAAAGCACCAAGAAAAUUUCAACACUAACUGUUUUUUCAUACAAAAAAAGAAACAAUGAAAUAAAUUUCCACAUUAGGCUUAUUUCAGAUAUUUAACAUCUUACUUUGAAAUUUCUUCCACGGAAUGAGACUACAGUGUUCAUUGACGACCAUUGUAAACAUAAGGUGGACAACUCUUUGACCAUGUCAUUAGACAAUUACAAAAGCUUACUUUCCAUGAGUUUGUAACUUACAAAAUUCCAAACUCAAUGUAUCAUUUGUGUCCUCAGCUUUCAUUGCAUAAUCACGUUUACAAUUGAAACAUUAACCAAAUCCAAAAAAAACAAAAAUGCGACUCUCUAUGGCUUUCUUAUAACACAAGAAUAUCUCUAAUUAGAGCAUGCCACACACCAACACAUUGCAAUUAUAUAAAGUAUUUUUCUCAGUGGCAAGUAUUAUACUCUCCUUUGGCCAAGAGGAUAUGAAAUUGGUUGAGUAUAUUGUUCUACCCAAUUGGAUCAAUAAGCUUAAGUUUGCACUGUACAAAACCAUAAGUACUCAAGACAUGAAAUCAAAUCUUGCACUUUACAAAUCACAUAUGGGCAAAAUAAUAGCUUUGAAGAAACUGAAAGAAGCAGAAGGCUUUAGAACACAAAUAUACUUGAGGUACCAAAAUAUGGUGCUGAGGAAGUGUUUUCUUCUUAUUUUGAGGGAAGAAGAACGCAGCUCUGAAUUUGGACCCAUUUUCUUAACCCAUGGUUCCUAUAACCCAUAAAUAAUUUUAGUGUCGUUCAAAUAACAAAUACCCCAGAUGAAUUGAAAAACUGCAGAGAUUAGUUUCAUGAAUACAUACUGAAGCCGAAAGCCAUAGUUAAUCUAAACAGAGGGUUUAUUUAAUCUAAAAAGAGGCAAAGACAUACAUACCAAUCCUCCGAAUGUUCUCUGCACAAUGUUCUGCUUCAAGAAUGUACGACGGCUUCCCCUGCAGUACAAACUCCCACCCAAAGCACAUGCCACCAUGCUCUUCCCUGAACAAACAAAAUAAAUUAUACACAAGUAAUGAGCAACUUUCUUUCGGCAUCAUAAUUAAUCUAUAGUGUUGUUCAAUAAUAUACUACCACCAUUUUAACACAAGUAUGAUUCUAAAUUACAUCUGUUCUUAUAAAAAAAAGUUUAUAUACAUAAAUUUCAAUAUGUCUGCUUACAAUUUUUAAAGGGAAUAGUGGUGAUAAGAUUAGGGAUAUGCUUUAGACAUCAACGCCUUAUGGAUAGCCCUUCUCAAUCCUUCAAGUGUAGUCUAGUCCUUCAUAUUAAGCAUGGCCUAAAUGCUGUAACAAUCCAAGAUAACUUGUAUGGAAAUGAAUUGACAAUGAAGGUGGGUUUUUGUCUUUUGGGUGAUCUCAUGAUGCAAACGUAUACUGGAGGAUAGGUAGCUAAAGCUAUUUAUGCUUCGUUCACUUUUUAGUAUCUAUUUGUAAAGUGCGAAGUUCUUACCUCAAAGUUUGCCUUAUAUGUGACAGCUUUCUCCAUGUAUGCACCAUUGAAAGUUGAACUACUGAAAUCAGAUUCCCUCAUAUCUGCUGAUGUUAAAUUGGCUCUUCUGCAUCAGUCAGUUACAUUGAUGUGAAAAUGCAGAUACUAAUGACAAAAUUAGUCUUGUUCUUUUCAAAUCAAAUACAUUAGCUUUAGCAGGUCGUUCAUUAUGGAGGGUAGCUGACAAAUGCAACAAAGAAAAACUACAAUUUGCGGAGAAAAAAAUUUAAUAAAAACCAAAAUUUUGAGGAAAGAAAAAUUGAAGUUUUUUUCUUAUGUGAGGAACCAUACCAGUAAUUUAUUCAAUCAAGGGUUUUUCUUUGAGCUAUACUCCCACUUUUCAACUGAGAAUGAAAUAACAAAGAAAACACACAAAAUAAAAGGCCUAAUUUCCAAAUUAUUUUUAAAAAAAUUAAAAAUUUAAUUUGAAUCAAACUGAAGAAAAUAGGUCAAAUUAAGUAAAUCCCAGUAAGUGGAAAAGUAUAUGGUGAGUGAUUAUUUACCUUGAAAACUCACAUAGUUUGGAAUGGAUCAUCAACAAUCUCUGGAGACUCCACUGGAUCCACUAUGAUAUCAUCCUGCAUGGUUCCACUACAAAUGGUAAUGCCAUUACGAAAUAACGCAAUUUUCUUUGGAUCAAGAACUUAAAACAAAAAGCAAUUUCAUAUUGUUCAACAAAAGUCAGAAAUCAAUAAUUCACACACAUUCACAGAUCUUCGUAACAAUUGGACAACUACAAUUUAAACUAAGCGCAUAAAAAAUUUCUUGGAAUUCAAUCGAAAUCAGCAGAAGAUAAAAAUUACGCAAAAGAAAUGCACAGUCCUGGCAUUGGAAUUGAAGUACCUGAAGUGGUGUAACUGGGCCCAGCGUCCACCAUUUCAAAAUCCCCAAAUCGGCUUUGAACUACAAAACCCAAAUAGAACAAAAACUAAGCAGAAUGAGUAGGAUUUAAAAUGUAGAAAACACCAAAUAAAAGAAGGUGGACCACCACUUGCGCAAAAACCAUAUUUGAGUGUUAACAUCGAGCAGUAAUAAACCCAACAAAGAAAUCAGUCAGGUAAAACUAACACUCAAUUCAAAUUUUCAAUUGAUUGUUUAAUUAUGUAAAUCUCACCUUCAAUUGUUUUAAAAUCACAAAAGUUGUUAACUAUGUCAUCUAAUAAUUUAAGAAAAUUUAAAAUGAACCCGAUUCACUCCAAAUGCUGAUAUUAUAUGUUCACAUAUAUACUUAUGUUGAUGCACAAAAUCAACGAGGACUUUGGUACAACAGAAAGUGUCAGGUUUGUGACCUUCGCUUGGUUGCUUCGAUCACUAGUGAAGAUAAGUACGUAAAUGAAUAGGGACAGGGAAGCAAACACAAGAUGUACGUGGUUCACCCAGAUCGGCUACGUCCAUGGGGUAGAGGAGUUCUCAUUAAUUGUGAAGGGUUUACACAAAUACAUAGGUUCAAGCUCUCAUUUUGUGAGUUCUAGUGAAUAGUUUAGUACAAAAUGACAUUAGAGAUUAUUGUGGGAGAAUGAUCCCUAUUUAUAGAAGAGAGUUUCUAGUUUUGUUUUGACAUUGACACGUGUCGUGUUGUGAUUGGCUUCUGAUAUUGACACGUGUCGCGCUGUGAUUGGCUUCUGAUGUCGACACGUGUCGCAUUGUGAUUGGCCUCCUAGUGGAAGGGAAGCUCUUCUGGGUCCUUGACAGUAUAACGUUGACCGGUGCUCAGUAGUUUCGGGAUUGGUCAAGUAUGGUACAAACAGUGCUCCCCUAAGUUCCCGAGUGAGGGAAGCUCCUCGGUUGGGGACUUGCAAGAUCCAAGCCGCUGAGUAAUCACGAAACUUCUAAGUACCGAGGUGUGGUAUCAUUUUCACUUGCCUUAUCUGUUUCAUAUGUAGAUGUGGCAUCUUCUCUGGAAGUACUUUUCCUCCAUCCAGGGAUGGUAUCUUUAACCGAUGAAGAUGCACAAGGUAAUGUAUCAAUUUCACUUGAAGCUUACUUGUAGUUUCGGGCUUGGUCAAGUGCGAUACAAACCUAUAGUAGGAGUCCACCAAGUUGCCGAGCUAGGAGAUCUGCCGAAAGAGGUGACAGACAAGGUAAGCAGUCAAACUUCCAAGCAAGCAACCCAGGAUCGGAAGUUCGACUUCGGCUUCUGGUUGAUUGUUCUCCUUCUCCUUGUCUCUCAUUCAACUGCCAGGAUAAGGAAAAGCAAAUGGAUAAGAGAUGAUAUGAGAUACUUUUGCUUUUGAAGAAGUAACUUUCCACAGGCUUAUUCUUGAACUGUGCUGGAGGGUUUUCUGGUUCCCUCUAGAGUAUAAGGCCGACUCAAGAAUUUGAGGGUCAAAACAAGUUCAUCAAAUCUAGAGUACAUUCGACCUUGAUGAUAUGGGAUACUUUUGCUGUUGACGGAAUAGUGAAUGUGGUAUGGAAAGGUGUCGUGUUGUAGUGAUCUGUUUCAGCUCACCGUUGAACCUUCUGCUUCAAUCUUUUGCAUGGCAAAAGUGGUGUGCAACCUUUGCAUUUAAAUGGUCAUUCAGAACAUUCCUUCAUAGUGACUCAUCCACGCUUGGCAGCUUCGGUGUAAAGAGCCAAUAUCUGAUCAACUGUCAUGAGGUAUUUGCCGGUGGAAUUCGUGACCUUGACAGCAGUUGAGGAUGAGUACUCGAGAGCAAUGCUAAAUAAGCAACCAGGCAAAGGUUCCAGGCAGUCAGUUCCAGAUUGGAGGUUUGAUUUCAGGUUCCGACUGACUGCUCUCUUUCUCCUUAUCCUGCAGGUGUGGACAAAGACAAAGACAAAGACAGGGAGAAAGCAUGAUAUGGGAUACUCUUGCUUUCGACCCUGAUGAUAUGAGAUACUCUUGUUCUUGGUGUGGCUUAUUUGCUGAGGUAUUAUUGGGGGGAAAUAAAGCUGAGUAUUUCGAGAGGUUAUGUUGAGGGUGCCUUCUCGAAUGCGAAAAAUGGUUGAGCAUUUUUGCAGGUUUGUCUGUCCGUGGAGGAGGGAGGUCGACAUAUAUAGGAAUUUCCCAAUAGCAAGUAGUAAUGUUAUUCCUUUACCCUUCUUGGUCACAGCAAUGUAGUGGGAGCUGCCAACUUCACGUGGUUUAACUUUGUCAUAGCACUUUGAAAAAGAUGUAUGUAGUAUCUGGAAAGCUGAUGUUGCGUGUGAAGAUUACAGACAAACUUUAUCUAAGGAAAUCUGGCUCUCGAAGUUCUGAGAGCUGUGCCUCUUCGGUUUUCGAACAAGCAAUCCUGUCGGGGAUCUGGCUCUCGAGAUUCGGAAAGCAGUGCCGCUUCGGCUUUUAAAAAAGUAAUUAUGUUGGGAGUCUUUUCUCGAAUGUGAGUAAAGGUUGGACGUUCUGCCAGUCUGUCUUGCCAUAGAACACGGAGGUCGACACACAUAGCGACUUUCCAGUUGUCAAGCAGUGGUGCUAUUCCUUUACUCUUGUAGGUAAUAGUAGGGUAGCUGGAACUUCGAAAUUCUCGUGCCUAAACUUUGUCAGAGAUCUUUGGCAAAGUUAUAUGUGGUACCUGAGGAAUUGAUGUUGCGUGUAGAGAGUGGUGAUUGAACAGUAAGAUUCACGUGCUUUCUACUUCACCAGAAAUCUUCGACAGAUUGCCCGUAAUUUCCGCAAAGCUGAGUAUGCAUGUGACAAGUGCUGACGAGGCUGAAAAAGCAGGUGCUUCUUCGAUUUCUGAGAUCGGCCCUCGUGGUCUCUGAGCAGCCCAGCUUUUAAGAAAGCAAGUGCCUCUUCGAUUUCUGAGAUCGGCCCUCGUGGUCUCUGAGCAGCCUAGCUUUUGAGAAAGCAAAUGCCUUUUCGAUUUAUGAAGCUCCGUCGAGUGCGGAUUUUUAUAGAGGCUGGUAUUAAGUUCCACAUCACAUUUGAAUCUCCACUAGUAGAAGCUCCCUUCUUGCACUUCUAAGAUCUUGAUUUGUCUGACCUCUUCCCUCUUCAACACCUUUGAAAAUGUCUGGCCCCUCCGACCGUCGUUUUGACUUGAACCUUGGAGAAGAGACAGCCACGCCUUCUCCAGACAACAUAUGGCGCCCAUCCUUCAUAUCCCCUACUGGUCCUCUUACCGUUGGGGAUUCUGUGAUGAAGAAUGAUAUGACCGCUGCGGUGGUUGCCAGGAACCUUCUCACUCCCAAAGAUAACAGACUACUUUCCAAACGGUCUGAUGAGUUGGCUGUUAAGGAUUCUCUGGCUCUUAGUGUUCAGUGUGCAGGUUCUGUGUCUAAUAUGGCCCAACACCUAUUUGCUAGAAUCCGCCAAGUUGAAUCAUUGGCUGCUGAAGUGAUGAGUCUCAAACAGGAGAUUAGAGGGCUCAAACAUGAGAAUAAACAGUUGCACCGGCUCGCACAUGACUAUGCUACAAACAUGAAGAUGAAGCUUGACCAGAUGAAGGAAUCUGAUGGUCAGGUUUUACAUGAUCAUCAGCGGUUUGUGGGUUUGUUCCAAAGGCAUUUAUUACCAUCGUCUUCUGGGGCUGUACCGUGUAAUGAAGCUCCAAAUGAUCAACCUCCGAUGCCUCCUCCUUCUGGGGUUCUGUCCAGUACUGAGGCUCCGGAUAACCACCCUCCGGUGCUUUCUCUUUCUGGGGCUCUACCGACUGCUGAGACUUCCCCUAAGCAACCUUUGUGAAGUCUCCCUCUUGUUUGUUUAUUUUGACUCAUGUAUAUGUACAUAUUUGUUUGGAAAUAUUAAUAAAUAAAUUUUUCUUCAUUUCAACGUAUUGUGUUAAAUACACCAAAUCCUUCUUCAGAAAGUUCUCUGAAUUUUUUCUUUUGUCGAAACUUGUAUUGUUGAAGCUUUGUGAGUGAAGCAUGUAGUUUGAGGUAGUAUUCCCUUAGUUUCCCGAGUGAGGAAAACUUCUCGGUUGGAGACUUGAAAAAUCCAAGUCACUGAGUGGUUGUGAGACUUCCGAGUAUCAAGGUACAGUAGCAUAUGGUGGGAGUCCCCCAAGUCUUCAGGCGAUGAGAGUUGCCGAAUGAGGUGUCUUGCUUGCUACUAAUUUGUCAAAGUAACGAAGCCUUGUUUUGAUAUCACACCUUCAUAUAUGCCUUAUCCAAAAAUAUUUCAAGCUGGUUUUAGUUUUGCGAGGGCCCAAAAUUAUUUGUGUAGCCCAAAAUGGCAAGCCCAAAGGGAGUCAGAGUAGAGGGAGCGGUAGCUCUUCAAUAUAACACCAUCAUCUGUAGCUCAAAUCGAAAAAUUGUCUUCAUGAAAAUUGUUCCUUAGCGUGUGAACUACAACAUACCCAAAUUUGAGAUCCAUCGGAGUAGUACAACUCUAGACAUUCAUGUAUGAUGAGUAACUGUUCAUGAUUUUUCUGUUAACCCGUCAGACUUGUUGUGAGCUUCGAAACUCCAUUUUCUCUUGUUCAGAUCAACAUACUUUCUUCAUCGAAGUUGUUCCUCAUCAUCUCUUCCAUAACAUAUCAAAAAUUCAGAACAAACUAACGGUUGAAUAUUUCUAGAUCUUCGAAACACCGCAGCAGCUUUGAAGCUUGCAGAAAUCUGACCGUCAUGUUUGGAGCUUCAACACUCUAACUUCCGUCGCUCAAAUAGAAACAUUUCCUUCGUGAAAGUUGUUCAUCUGCUCAAGAACUAUAAGAUGUCCAAAAUUCAGCUCCACUGGAAUUAGCUUCGCACUAUCUUGAUGAAGAGUGUGUGAAGCUUUUAUAUGUUUUGGUGUUGAAAUUUGGUAUUGUAGGUGAAGUUUUGGUGACACCAUAAAUUGAUUUUGCUUCACACUAUCUUGAUGAAGAUAGUGCGAAGAUUUUGAGAUUGAUAUUUGUCCUCCAUUGAUGAUGCUUUUGGUGGCACCAUAAAUUGAUUUUGCUUCACACUAUCUUGAUGAAGAUAGUGCGAAGCUUUUGAGAUUGAUAUUUGUCCUCCAUUGAUGAAGCUUUUGGUGGCACCAUAAAAUUGAUUUUGCUUCACACUAUCUUGAUGAAGAUAGUGCGAAGCUUUUGAGAUUGAUAUUUGUCCUCCAUUGAUGAAGCUUUUGUUGGCACCAUAAAUUGAUCUUGCUUCACACUGUCUUGAUGAAGAUAGUGCGAAGCUUUUGAGAUUGAUAUUUGUCCUCCAUUGAUGAAGCUUUUGGUGGCACCAUAAAUUGAUUUUGCUUCACACUAUCUUGAUGAAGAUAGUGCGAAGCUUUUGAGAUUGAUAUUUGUCCUCCAUUGAUGAAGCUUUUGUUGAAUUUCCCAAUUUCCAAUUUUUUUUUUUUGGGAAAACUAGAAAUUUGAAAAUGUGGGAGAGACAACGUAUACAAAUUUUGCUUCCACACUGUUGAGCGAGAGAUUGUGAUGCAAGCCACAUCUUGUAGUAGUCGAAGGUUUGAAUGAACCAUAUAAAUUGAAUUUUCUUCGAAACAGUCUUGAUCAAGAGCGUGUGAAGCUUUCUAUGAGUUGUAGUGUUUGCAUUGUUACAGAGGAGAAAUGUCUGAAGCAUAUGCAAGAGGGCUGAAGAGCUUGAUCUUCGUAUACCAUGCACUGAAGCCAUUGUUGGCUUGCAAUAAGACUUUGUUGGUGACUAUAGCUCUUGUUAGGCAUAAGUGCUCCCCUAGUUGAGUUGUAAAGCUUGAGGGUUUUUGAUUAUUUGUGAAUGCUAGGAGUUCACAUGUACAAGUUGUACCACUCGUCUUCUGGUUAGUGGAAUGAAUGGUGGGUUGCUUUCAUCACUUGGUUGGUGUACGAAUGUGAAUUCCUUAAUCACCUUUCAUCACAUUUCAUCACCUGGUUGGUGACAUGAAGGAGAGUACGUGUUGUACAUUUCAUCACCUGGUUGGUGGCAUGAAGGAGAGUACGCGUUGUACAUUUCAUCACCUGGUUGGUGGCAUGAAGAUGAGUUCAUUCUUCACCUGAUUGGUGAUAAGGGUGGCAAGUUUCCAAAUNGUAGAGGGAGCGGUAGCUCUUCAAAUAUAACACCAUCAUCUGUAGCUCAAAUCGAAAAAUUGUCUUCAUGAAAAUUGUUCCUUAGCGUGUGAACUACAACAUAUACCCAAAUUUGAGAUCCAUCGGAGUAGUACAACUCUAGACAUUCAUGUAUGAUGAGUAACUGUUCAUGAUUUUUCUGUUAACCGUCAGACUUGUUGUGAGCUUCGAAACUCCAUUUUCUCUUGUUCAGAUCAACAUACUUUCUUCAUCGAAGUUGUUCCUCAUCAUCUCUUCCAUAACAUAUCAAAAAUUCAGAACAAACUAACGGUUGAAUAUUUCUAGAUCUUCGAAACACCGCAGCAGCUUUGAAGCUUGCAGAAAUCUGACCGUCAUGUUUGGAGCUUCAACACUCUAACUUCCGUCGCUCAAAUAGAAACAUUUCCUUCGUGAAAGUUGUUCAUCUGCUCAAGAACUAUAAGAUGUCCAAAAUUCAGCUCCACUGGAAUUAGCUUCGCACUAUCUUGAUGAAGAGUGUGUGAAGCUUUUAUAUGUUUUUUGGUGUUGAAAUUUGGUAUUGUAGGUGAAGUUUUGGUGACAACCAUAAAUUGAUUUUGCUUCACACUAUCUUGAUGAAGAUAGUGCGAAGAUUUUGAGAUUGAUAUUUGUCCUCCAUUGAUGAUGCUUUUUGGUGGCACCAUAAAAUUGAUUUUGCUUCACACUAUCUUGAUGAAGAUAGUGCGAAGCUUUUGAGAUUGAUAUUUGUCCUCCAUUGAUGAAGCUUUUGGUGGCACCAUAAAAUUGAUUUUGCUUCACACUAUCUUGAUGAAGAUAGUGCGAAGCUUUUGAGAUUGAUAUUUGUCCUCCAUUGAUGAAGCUUUUGUUGGCACCAUAAAUUGAUCUUGCUUCACACUGUCUUGAUGAAGAUAGUGCGAAGCUUUUGAGAUUGAUAUUUGUCCUCCAUUGAUGAAGCUUUUGGUGGCACCAUAAAUUGAUUUUGCUUCACACUAUCUUGAUGAAGAUAGUGCGAAGCUUUUGAGAUUGAUAUUUGUCCUCCAUUGAUGAAGCUUUUGUUGAAUUUCCCAAUUUCCAAUUUUUUUUUUUUUGGGAAAACUAGAAAUUUGAAAAUGUGGGAGAGACAACGUAUACAAAUUUUGCUUCCACACUGUUGAGCGAGAGAUUGUGAUGCAAGCCACAUCUUGUAGUAGUCGAAGGUUUGAAUGAACCAUAUAAAUUGAAUUUUCUUCGAACAGUCUUGAUCAAGAGCGUGUGAAGCUUUCUAUGAGUUGUAGUGUUUGCAUUGUUACAGAGGAGAAAUGUCUGAAGCAUAUGCAAGAGGGCUGAAGAGCUUGAUCUUCGUAUACCAUGCACUGAAGCCAUUGUUGGCUUGCAAUAAGACUUUGUUGGUGACUAUAGCUCUUGUUAGGCAUAAGUGCUCCCCUAGUUGAGUUGUAAAGCUUGAGGGUUUUUGAUUAUUUGUGAAUGCUAGGAGUUCACAUGUACAAGUUGUACCACUCGUCUUCUGGUUAGUGGAAUGAAUGGUGGGUUGCUUUCAUCACUUGGUUGGUGGUACGAAUGUGAAUUCCUUAAUCACCUUUCAUCACAUUUCAUCACCUGGUUGGUGACAUGAAGGAGAGUACGUGUUGUACAUUUCAUCACCUGGUUGGUGGCAUGAAGGAGAGUACGCGUUGUACAUUUCAUCACCUGGUUGGUGGCAUGAAGAUGAGUUCAUUCUUCACCUGAUUGGUGAUAAGGGUGGCAAGUUUCCAAAUAAUAUUAGAGUACGGGUUGUACAUUUCAUCACCUAGUUGGUGGCACGAAGGUGAGUUCCUUCAUCACCUAGUUGGUGAGAAUAAGGGCAAUGUGUCGAGGCACAUUGUGGCAAAUGUCGAAUGACACAAAGUGUGUUGAACCCUUUCGAAGCACAGUUGGCUUAUGUAUGGAUGUGUUGGAAUGUAUGAUGUUUAUGUAUGAAUGUGUUGGAAUGUAUGAUGUUUAUGUAUGAAUGUGUUGGAAUGUAUGAUGUAGAUCCUUUGUAUAGUCUUGUUGACACAUACUUAGAUUUUGUUUUGUAUUGGAAACAUUUGCGUUGAAGCUUCAACACUUGAGUGUUUCAUUGAUCAGAAUGUAAAAGAGUUUAGGGCCGAGUUGGCUAAAUCACAUCUUUAUUGAAUUCAAACCAAAUGGUCUUUGUUACAUAGGAUGCCGAACGGCUGUAGCUUAACACUUGUACAAUGUGAGUCUAUUUGUAAUACUUCAAGUGGUCAGCAUUCCAUGGAUGGCCAAGGGUCUUGCCGUCGGAGCUUCUGAGCUUGUAGGAGCCAGGGCGGCUGAUGCCGAUGACCUCGAAUGGUCCAUCCCAGUUAGGACUGAGUGUUCCUUCACUCGGGACUCUAUCAUAGAGUAAUCUUUUCUUCAGUACCCAGUCUCCCACUUUGAAAGAGCGAGGUUUGACCCUUGAGUCAUAGUAGUUGGAAAUGCGCUGCUUGUAGGCGACAUUCCUCAGGUGAGCCUGAUUUCUGUGUUCCUCGACUAGAUCCAGGUUGAGGGUGAGUUGUUUGUCGUUCUCACUCUGCAUGUAGUUUUGGAUUUGGUAUGUUGCUUGCUCAAGCUCAACCGGGACAACUGCUUCUGUACCAAAAGCAAGUGAGAAUGGAGUUUCUCCUGUGGAAGUUCGAUAUGAAGUGCGGUAUGACCAAAGAACUUAGGGGACGAAUUCUGGCCAACAACCUUUAGCUUUGUCCAAGCUAGUUUUCAGAGUGUGCUUGAUUAUUUUGUUAACGGCCUCGACUUGUCCAUUAGACUGGGGAUGGGUUGGAGAGGCAAAACAUAAGUUGAUGUUGAACUUAUAGUAGAACAUCCUGAACUUCUUGUUGUCGAACUGCCGCCCAUUGUCCGUGACUAUCGCAUUGGGAAUGCCGAAUCUGCAUAGAAUGUUCUUCCAUACGAAGUCUUCUAUUUUUGCCUCAGUAAUGGUUGCCAAGGGUUCUACUUCAGCCCACUUUGUGAAGUAGUCAACUGCAACGAUUGCAUAGCGGACCUUGCCCUUCCCUGCAGGCAUUGGGCUGAUCAAAUCAAGUCCCCAUUGGGCGAAGGGCCAAGGGCUGAUCAUAGGAGUGAGUGGCUCGGGAAGGGUAGUGAGGGAUAGUUGCGUAGCGUUGACACUUAUCACACGAGCGAGAUAUUCUAAUGGCAUCUUGGUGGUAGGGGUGGGCGCGGUGCGGUUUGGUGCGGUUUCGAAUGAAACCACAACCGAAACCGAAACAUUUUGCGGUGCGGUGCGGUGCGGUUUUGAAGCCAAAACCGAAAUGAAACCAAACUGUUCGGUUCGGUGCGGUGCGGUUUCAAACGGUUUCGGUUUGGUUUUUUAGCAAAAAAAUGUACAAUUUAAAAUAUACACCUAUUUAUGCAUAAGACGGUCUUAUUUUUCUCGUAUAUUAAUUAAUAAAUAUGCAGUAAAAUUGUAGCAAAACUGCAUAAAAAACAGCAGCAAAAACUGCACAAAACUGCACCAAAAAAUAAUGCAGCAAAACUGCAUAAAAAAACAGCACCAAAACAGCCCCAAAACUGCACCAAAAAACUGCACAAACAGAACCAAAAAUCUGCACCAAAAGUGCAGCUAACUUGUACCAAACUUGUACCAAAACUGUAACAAAUGACAAUUACUAAAAUUGAGACAACAUCCAAUGCAUUAAAGGAUUUAAACUUUAAAUCCUUAUGCAUGACAUCUACUAAAAUUGAACUUGAUCACCAAUCACAAAACCAAACCGUUUGGUGCGGUUUGAUUCGAUUCGUGUUUCGGUUUCGGUUUUCGGUUCCAAGUGCCCACCCCUACUUGGUGGAGUGUUGGCCAAUAGUAUCCUUGGCGAAAAGUCUUGUGUGCUAGGGAUCGAGACCCAGCAUGAUCUCCACAGACUCCUUCAUGUAUUUCCCAAAGGACACUUUCCGCCUCAACAGGUGUAAGGCAUCUUAGGUAUGGCAGGGUGAAACCGCACUUGUAGAGUUGGUCAUUAAUGAUCAGGUAGCGGGCAGACUUGUAUCGAAUCUGCUUAGCUUGGACUUUGUCAAUUGGGAGGGUGCCAUGAGCAAGGAAUUUAUAAAUUGGGGUGAUCCAACUAUCUUCUUGUUGUAAAUUGCACACCUCAGCGACCAUGGUGCUUGGUGCUGCCAACAAUUCGACAUGAAUUUUUCUCCCAAUCUUGUCUUCCACUGCCAAGGCGAGGCGAGCCAAAGCAUCUGCAUGACUGUUUGCUGCUCGAGGAACUUGGGUGAUCUGGUAGUGGAAGUGCUUGAGCAAAAGUCGUGUUUGCGCAAGAUAUGCUGCCAUAGAGCUAUCCUUAGCAUCAAAGUUGUUCGUGACUUGGUUGACCACUAAUUGGGAGUCACUGAAGAUAUCAAUUCGUUUAACCCCGAGGUGUUUGGCCAAACGUAAGCCUGCUAGAAGGGCUUCGUAUUCGGCCUCGUUGUUCGAUGCCUUGAAUUUGAAACGAAUAGUGUAUUCCAUCGUCACUUUGUCGGGGGUAGUGAAGACUAAUCCUGCUCCGCAGCCCUGUUAGUUGGAUGAGCCAUCAACAUACAGACUCCAUGCUGGGGUUGUUGAUUCUAUCUUCUGAGCUUCCGAUGGUAAUGAAGCUACUGCUUCAGGUGUAGAAGCAAUGUCAACAGGAUAUGUGAAGUCGGCUAUGAAAUCUGCUACAGCCUGACCUUUUUCGGCUGGUUUUGGUUGGUAGGAGAUGUCAAACUCACCCAAUGCUAUCGCCCAUUUGAUCAUUCGCCCAGACGUGUCAGGACUCUGGAGUAUCUGUCGAAUAGGGUGAUUGGUAAGCACGAUGAUGGCGUGUGCUUGGAAAUAAGGGCAAAGUUUUCGAGCAGACAUGACCAAUGCUAGAGCUAAUUUCUCAAUGUUGGAGUAUCGUGUCUCCGCAUCUUGUAGGGCCUUGCUAGCGUAGUAGACGGGCCUUUCGACACCACUGUCCUUUCGAAUAAGAACAGAACUGACUGCUGAAGCCGAAACCGAUAGAUAGAUAAUGAGAGUGUCACCAAUUUUUGGUUUGGAGAGCAGAGGGGAUUUACUCAUGUACUCUUUGAGGUUCCUGAAUGCCUUGGCACAUUCCUCCGUCCAUGUAAUGUACUUCUUAUUUCCCUUGAGUGCUUUAAAGAAAGGAGCACAUCUAUCUGUGGCCGUAGAGAUGAAUCUGGUUAAGGCUGCCACCUUGCCAGUAAGGCUUUGGAUGUCUUUUGAAGUUACUGGCUCUUUCAUGUCGAGGAUUGCUUUGAUAUUUUCGGGGUUAGCUUCAAUGCCUCGUUGGCUGAUCAUGAAGCCUAAGAAUUUGCCAGAGCCCACGCUAAAGGCACAUUUGUUGGGGUUCAACCUCAUUCGAUACCUCUUUAGAAUGGUGAAAGUUUCAGAUAGGUUGGUGAUGUGUUGGUCAACAUGUUUGCUCUUGACUAGCAUAUCAUCAACGUAAACUUCCAUGCUCUUCCCAAUCUGUUCGGCGAACAUUGAAUUGACCAGUCUCUGAUGAGUUGCUCCUGCAUUCUUUAGGCCGAAAGGCAUGACUUUAUAGCAAUAUAGUCCCUUGUCAGUAGUGAAGGCCGUGUGUUCUUGGUCUGAGGGGUUCAUGAGGAUUUGGUUAUAUCCUGAAUAAGCGUCCAUGAAGCUCAAGAGCUCACACCCUGCCGUAGAGUUUAUAAGUCUAUCAAUGAGAGGAAGAGGGAAACUAUCCUUCGGGCAUCCUUUGUUUAGGUCGGUGUAGUCGACACACAUUCUCCACAAGACCUUUUGAAGCAGGAGACUUUCCUUGGUCGGAUUUUUCUUAACAAGGACAACAUUUGCUACCCAUGUUGGGUAAUUAACUUCACGGACGAAGCCUAUGUCCUUGAGUUUUUCGACUUCUGCUUUCAUCGCCUCAUAUCGUUCAACAUCAUAAGAUCUUCGCUUCUGUUUUACUGGUUUGGUCUUGGGAUCAAUACUCAAGUGGUGACAAAUGAUAUCGGGAGAGAUGCCCGGCAUAUCUUUAUAUAACCAAGCGAAGACCUCGACGUUCUCUUGUAAAAAUGAGAUCAGCGACAACCGAAGGGGUGGUGACAAAGUUGUGCCAAUCUUCACCAUGCGAUCUAGAUGGUCUUUGGAGAUAGAGACAUUCUCUAACUCUUCAGCGGGUUGUGCUUGUUGGGUGAAUGAGUCAUCUCGAGGGUCGUCGGGUUGACUGUUGCUAUCAUGAAAAUCCGAGUUGGCUUCAUCUUGACUGGUAUUUACUACCUGGUUAUGUACAGAGAAGGUCUCCUUGGGGAAAUGCAGGUGUUGUUGCUUAACUGAAGUGUUGUAACAUGAUCGAGCACUAAGUUGAUCUCCCCUGAUGUAUCCAUUUCCGAAAGGGGUUGGAAACUUCAUCAACAACAUAUGUGUGGAUACCAUGGCCUUGAGAUCAUUGAUGCCUGUGCGCCCAAAGAUGACAUUGUAUGCCGUCGGGCAAUUGACCACUAGGAAGUUAGUGGUAAUAGUAGCUGUGUAGGGUCAUGUACCAAUGGUGAGGGGUAAGUGUAUACUCCCUAAAGGUUGUACGAUAUCGCCAGAGAAGCUUAUCAGAGGAGAAAUCGAGCGAUCGAGCAAGUGUUCAGCUACAUUAAGUGCCUUGAAAGCUUCAGCAAACAUGAUAUUGACUGAAGCGCCUGUGUCUAUCAGGAUUCGUUUCACAUCAAAAUUUGCUAUGUGAGCCUCCACGAUCAGCGGGUCGUUGUGAGGGUAUAUGAUACCUCUUUCUUCCUCAGGGUAGAAACAUAUUGGAUCCCAGUUAGGCUUUUGAUACUUGUCUCCCCUGAUGUCUUCCACGUGAAACACUUGAUGGCCAAGUCUCAAAGUUCGUUCACUGUUUUUCAUGGCCCUAUUGGAAGAUUCAGACAUGGGUGUGCUGCCGCUUAUGGAAUAUAUCACAUUCACCUGGCGUUGGUUACGGUUAUCCCUUGGAGGGUGAAGGAGGAACUGAUCAAUUUUUCCGUCACGUGCCAAAGCUUCAAUAUGAUCACGGAGGAUGAUGCACUUCUCGCCAUCAUGGCCAUUAUACUCGUGGUAGCAACAAAACACGCCCGUGUUCUUCGUGGACUUGUAAUCUGGUUGUCUUGGCUUUGGCUUUGGUAUCAGGUGAGCUAUACUGGGGUAGAUGGACGCGCAUGUAGCGUUCAAAGGUGUGUAUGUCUCAUACCUCGGGGUAGGGCCUAUCUUGGCACGUGAUUGGUCCACUGCGUUGACUGCCUGGGGACGGGCGUUAUUGUGACGAUAUCCUGAGUUAUCGCGAUAGUGCCCCUUAUUCUUUUUAUUAAAAUGAGAUUGGUGAGGAUGGAAAUCUUUCCUUUUGCCCUGGGAUUGAUAUGUCUGCUGACUUGGCGAAGCAUUAAAUGAGGCAGGGGGUGUGCUGCUACCGUUUGGAAGGUUGAGGUCUUCUCAUUUGGUUGGAUCUGGCCUCCACUCCCUACUUGCUGAUAAGGGGUGACUGUAGGGGGUUUCCCUUGAUAUGUCCUUGCCUCGGCGGAGGCAUGGUUGUAAGCUUGUGUCAUCACCUCAUAGUAAGUCUUCCAUGUGUUGGCGUUGAUCAUGUACUUGAAGAAACAGUCACGUAAGCCUGCCGUGAAGGCCUUAAGGGUGGUCUUGUCAUCUGCCUCAGAGCAGCGAGAAUACUCAUGGCUGAAGUGGCCAGCAUACUUUCGUAAUGACUCGUCCGGCUUCUGGCGAAUAGUGUACAAGUCAUCUGUAGAAUGCAAGCGAUCAGUCUGGAAGAUGUGUUGAGAGACAAACAGCUUCCUCAACUCUUCAAAUGAGUCUAUUGUCUCAGGUAGAAGACGGCAAUACCAGUUUAAAGCUCCGCCAGAGAGGGUGGAGGGGAAGAGAAGGCACCGUUCUUCGUCGGUGUGUCUCCGGUAUACCAUGGUGGACUCAAAGAGGUUAAGGUGUUCAAUCGGGUCUUCCCUUCCAGUAUAGAGUUGUAAGUCAAGCUUCUGCUUUGUCUUCGCUUGGAGAGGGGUGUUGAAGAUCCUUCUUGUGAGGGGGCCAGGCCUGGGUUGGUUCCAGUCAGGUAUCUCGGCUUGAUGUUCAGCCUUCAACUUGUUUACUUCAUCCAGGAGCUGUAGGAUAAGGGGGUCCUGAGUGGAGUCGUGCACCACUGAAGUUUUCUUCCGUAAGUCCCCAUCGCCUCUUGUAAGUAGGAAAGUUUGAUCAAGAUAGUGUGAUUUUUCCUUGGACUCAUCACAAUGACUCCUAGAGUAAGUAUGUCGAAAUAUUUCCGAGUCCCCUGUACCUUCAUGUUCUUCUGGGACUUGUUGCCCAUUCCCUAGAUUGGCUACUGGCCUGGGUCGUGGAAGAGGACCGAGUCUUUCAGAAACUCUUGGGUCAUUGAUCUUCGAGCUUAUGUGGAUAAGAUUCUCUCGACGUUGCUUUAGGAAGUCUCGACAAUCGCGAUAGACGGCUUUUGAUCCUUCCACUCCUUCUGUGAAGAGGUGCUUUCCUCUACUUUUUCUGCUUCGGGUUGAAGCAGAUGGGUUGAAAGAAGUCUCAUGUUGAUUAUGACCUCGAUGUGUAGCUCGAUCCCUAUCAGGGAUGUCCGUGUUGGAUAUCGGUGACCCUCCGUGUUGGGGGGCAUUCAGAUGAUUGUUGACCUCAACAAGGGCAACGAGCUUAUGUGUUUGAGCAUGCCUAGCCUCGUGAAGCAUCUCGAAAAGUUUUUCAUAUUGUUCUUGGAGGACCUCAUUCUUCAUCGCCAUCUUGUUAUUCUGAACCUCUAGCUCAUCGACUUUAGCUUGAAGAGUAACUCUAUUUCCUUCCUGCUUUCGUUGCUUCAUACUAGGUCCAAGGGGGGUGUCAUUCUGUGUGCUAUGGCUUCUUUCGCUCCCCAUGUCGGAGAGAGAUGUUUGGCCAAAAGAGAGUGUACGAGCGGUGGAAACCAGCUUGACAAAGCUGAAGAGAGUGGGAAUAAGUGUCGUUCCCACAGACGGCGCCAAAUGUUGAUGCACAAAAUCAGCGAGGACUUUGGUACAACAGAAAGUGUCAGGUUUGUGACCUUCGCUUGGUUGCUUCGAUCACUAGUGAAGAUAAGUACGUAAAUGAAUAGGGACAGGGAAGCAAACACAAGAUGUACGUGGUUCACCCAGAUCGGCUACGUCCACGGGGUAGAGGAGUUCUCAUUAAUUGUGAAUGGUUUACACAAAUACAUAGGUUCAAGCUCUCAUUUUGUGAGUUCUAGUGAAUAGUUUAGUACAAAAUGACAUUAGAGAUUAUUGUGGGAGAAUGAUCCCUAUUUAUAGAAGAGAGUUUCUAGUUUUGUUUUGACAUUGACACGUGUCGUGUUGUGAUUGGCUUCUGAUAUUGACACGUGUCGCGCUGUGAUUGGCUUCUGAUGUCGACACGUGUCGCAUUGUGAUUGGCCUCCUAGUGGAAGGGAAGCUAUUCUGGGUCCUUGACGGUAUAACGUUGACCGGUGCUCAGUAGUUUCGGGAUUGGUCAAGUAUGGUACAAACAACUUACAACAACAAAAAAUUCUGUUUUGAGCCCCUAGGAUCAAAAGAAAAACAAAAAACACUAAUUCCAAUGCCUAGAUAUAUAAACAUCGCAUAAAACACUCAUUUGCAAAUGAGGGGCACACUCAUAUAAAGCUAUAUGUUUAUAUGGGUAGCAAAUAAGCAGUACAGAUGCAGACACAUCUAUAAAGCUAAAUCAGAUCGAUUUCAUAAUCAUAUUUUGCUCAAGCUUUUAUCAAGGGAGACAUGCAAAAUCAUACAGAAACAUCCAUUAGUAAACUGGACAAUUUCAAUAUAUAUGGAAGCAUGCAUGAAAUCACAGAGAGAAAAUAAUAAUACAACUUUACCUUUGAAGUGUUAUUGCGUCAGGAUUUGGGAUGGAGAUCCGACAUGCACACAUUUGGGAUGAGAGAAAUGGGGAUUAAACCCAGAAGGCGGGAUUUUCCGAAGAGCAAGGAAGAAGAAGAGGAGAAAUAGGGGGGUGUUUAAAUGGGGAGAAGAAGAGAAGCGAGCUUCCCUCCAUAGUUGAGGUUCAAGCCCGUGGGAGAGGAGUUGUGUGAAGCCAAAAAUAUUCACAAGACGACACAUGGAUUUUUGACAAAAGAAGACAAAACUACCCUUGAGGCAUACUGGGAUUCCUACGCGCAAGCAGCGGGCAAUUAUCUCUCAACCAAGUCAAAAGUGCCCAAAAUAGGUAUCAACUUAAAACCUAAUUUAUUCAUAUAUGUCCUAUUUCAUUAUUUAGCUAAUCAAUUAGCUAAAUACUAUACUUAUUCCAUAAUUCCUAAAACAUUCCUUCUAAAAUAAUGAUAAAUAGCUAAUUAAUGGGUUAAUUAGCUAAUUAUUCCCUUAAUUAGCAUUUAGACCAUUCACUUUACCCUAACUCCCACAAAAAGGCCGGUUAACUUUCAUCCCCAAAAGAAAUCAGCCUUUCCUUCUACCUUUUUUCCUUUGUAUGACAAAUAAUUAGCCAAGUUAAUUAGGGAGUUAUUGGCUAAUUAUUUUGUUACUCCUAAUUAAACCUAAAUUAAACCCAAAAAACCCUAGCCACCUCCUAUCCCUAUAAAUAUACUCUCAUUCUCACCAAAAAGCCAAUUCCAACACUUUGGCAAAAAUCCCAAAAUUCUUUAAACACUCUUUUUCUCUAAAUUCUAACUUUGGCAUCGGAGGUUCUUCGGCCAAAGCCCCCCCAUUCAUUGUGGGCGCGUGAGGCUCUUGGCCUUGACCUAAGGUGUUAAUUGUUUUGUAGGUGCAAUUUUGUCCAAGAAGAAGAAGGCGGAAAUUUGCAUCCACAAGUUGCAGAGAGAAACUCUGUUCAGCUAGUACUAAUUCAAUUUACAGAAAAGGGGAUUAGGGUUUUUUGGAAUCAGAAAGGGAUAGACAGCCUAUGUUGUGGUUCGUGUAAAAUCGAGAGAGAGAACUGGAGUUCGUAGCAAAUGGAGGACUAUUGGAAGCAAAUGAAAAGCUAAGCUUUGUGAGAGAAAGAAGUGGAAGCGGAAGGAAAAUUCAAGAUGCAGUGGAAGGGGAGCAAUCGACGAUGGUCGACACGUGGGCAGCAUGGACAAAUACGUAAAUUCAUUGUGCCAAGGACGGGGAACAGAGAAGAAAAUAAGGGCAUUUCUGUCAUUUCACUAUUUAUAAACAGUGCAAACGGUGCCAAAUAACAGCGUUUUAGUAUGUGUAUAAUGUAAUAUAUCCUAUUUUGUCUUUUUACAAAAUUAAAAUUUAUAAAAGUAAAUAAAUUUGUCAAGUAUUCUGAACCACAUUAUUGAUAACCUAUUGUGAGGCUUUACCCAUCCCCACCCCUUAGUGUAAAUAAUAUUAUUUGUUAAAUAUAUAGAUAUAUAGAUAUAUAUAUAUAUAUAUAUAUAUAUAUUGUUGUAGCCCAUAUUUAAUUGAGGGGUGCGGCAUAGAGAGAAAGAGAGUGAAGAAUAGGCUUGAGGAAUUGUGUGUUAAUUCCCCAGUCAUUGUGCCUUUAUUAAUAGUAAUAAGGAGGAAAGAAACUUGCUCUCCAAGUAAUACAAAGUCUAUUAGGAAAGAUCUUCUAGAUCCCAAAGGAUUCAUAAUCUAUCUCUACUUAGGAUUUACACAAUCACAAUAUGUAUUAGAACAUAUGUCACAUCACUCCCCAUUGAGUGUGCAAAUACUCAAGUAGAUGGUGCAUCAGAUCUUCAGGCAAAUGUAGAAGCAGCUGAUGAAAUCAUCUCGUCUAGUUGGCACAAAUAACGAAUGUGAGUCUUAAAAAAAAUAGAAGAAUGCAUGGGUGGUAAAACUCACAAAACCUCGUUAUAACAAAACCCAAGGUGGGACAAAAAUCCAUAGUCAAAGGAGAAAGGUGAGAAGUUGCAUUAAGUCAAAAUUAUACGUCUUCGGGAUGCAAGUAGAACGUACACAAGAGUAUGACUAACCCAAGAUGGGUGCCUCAUCAAAACCUAAUCAGGUAGCAAAAGCUCAGUGGGAAUAAUGCUCCUAAGCGUAGGAAAAAAGAAUACAUUAAGGUCACGUGAGUAUACUUCUGGAUACUCUCUCUGAGUUUAACAGAACUUCCAAAUGAGAACUAUAAGCAUUGUAUAUGAAUAGUUAGGCAUACCAAUUCCUUGGACAAGCUUCUGGAAGGUAGACUUUGAUAAUGACGUCGUGCAAAGGUAGGCAAGGUUUAUGCCUAGCAGUUUCUGACACGAUCCGUUAACCUGACACGAUACAACACGAAAUUAACAGGUUUUCGGGUCGACACAAUAACUAAUCAAGUCGUUAUCGGGUAACCUGAUAACCACCUGUUAAGAUAAUGGGUUGGUCCGGGUGUACACGUGGGUAACACGAUACACGAUAAGCAAAAUAUUAAUUUAAUAAUUUUAUACCCCUAAAAAAUAAUAUAAUAAUUAUAUUUAUUAUAUUAAUUUAAUAAUUUUAUACCCCUAAAAAUACUAUAACAAUUAUAUAUAUAUAUAUAUAUAUAUAUAUAUAUAUAUAUAUUAUAUUAUAUUAAAUUUAGAAAAUUGAUGAUCAUUGGAUCGAUUGAGAUUUAAUCUCAACCGUCCAUUGUACAUUAGGUUGGAGCCUAGAUUAUCCUUCUCUUUCAUUCACUCUCGAUCUCUCAAGACUUUCAACACUUUGCGCCGCUCUCCUUGAAUUCGCUCAUCUCUCUUGCAUCCUCCUCCGUCCACUUUCUUGUACUCAACUCCGGUAGCUACAAGAAAACCACACACAGUCAAGCACACACUAAAGGUAUGAAUUUUGUAAAAGGUAUAACAUGCAAGCUUUGAGUUUCAUUGGUAAGGUUUUAACUUUUGAGAAAGGCUUCACAGCCUUGAAAAUAAAAACUCUUUCAUUUUGCAUAUCCUUGCACAUUUUAUAUUUUGUAGUAGACUAGUAGUGUAUUGAUACUUUUUUAUUAUGCUCUUGUUUUGGAGUGUAGAUGUAGUACAUAACGACAAAUGUGUUUUAAAUUUUUGAAGUAAUAUUUAUGUGGCAAUGUGGUAUGUACAAAUUUAAAAAAAAAAUCUUAAUGGGUCAGGUCAUUUUACUUGUUGGGUAAAGUGGCCCGGCCUGUUAAGGACCCGUUAAGGUAACGGGUGUGACACGGCACAACCCAUUAAGAUAACAGGUGUUACAGGAAAACGACACGAACACGACAGACACAACCCGUUUGCCAAGCCUAGCAAGGUUGUCUAGAUCAGACUGUUUAACUUCAAUCUUGUGAUGCUUAUGCUGAUGUAGACAAAAUAUGCUUGGCAUUGACUUAUUGGAUGUAUCAUGAUCUGUUCAAUACACACAGCGUUGUCUUCAUGGAUCGUUGUUGGGAGUUAACGAUGGAUGAAAAUCACAUAGAGUUCAAAUGUGUUCACGUUAUGAGAUAUAGUGAGUCUUGGAACAAUUCAAAGGUUUCGCAACUAAAGGUCUAUAUCACGGACCUCUAAGAUAUUGCGGUGUUCCUUAACGGUAAAGACAUAACCAUUUGGGAACGUACCUUGUGUGGUUAGAUAGAUAAUCUGAUUUAACGAAUCCCACAAGGUAGGCAUCAUUCUGAAGAUCAUGGGGAUGUGAUCUAUUUUGAGAUGCAUAGGGAUAGAUAAGCCCAAAUCCGUAGUAAUGGAAAAACGUCUUUAACACCAAUUUGGUGAUGGCGUGUAGGUGCAGUGCUGUUUUAUGCCAUAAGAUUAUCAGCAUAUAAAAUGUCUGAUCUAGUCCAUUUGAGCUAAGUACAAUGAACGCCAAUGGUACUUAUAUAUGGUUGCCUCACGUUCCAAUAUGGAACCUUAUGUUUCAUACCCUUCGUAAAGUUCUCAUUUACAUAUAGCGUACAAAUGAUCAUGGUAUAAUCAGAUGUAACACAUUCUGGGUCUAGUUCGACUGGUGGACUAGAAUACCAUUAGAACUAGCUCGAAACUUCAAGUCGAGGUAAUGUCGAGUUUCCCCUAGAUCAUUUAUCUUAAAGUUCGACUUUAGGUGUGAGUCAGUUUUUUCAACUCUAGCAAUUUUGGAUAUUGUACAUGUAGGGCAUAUAUCCUUAACUGAUCAAAUAUUCACUUAGACGGGUAUACCACAUCCGCCCGGAUAGUUCUGCAUUAGUAAAAUGAAGGCAUCAUCAAAACCGAGAGGGUGUUCUUGUGGUCCAGAACUAUUUAAAUCAAUACAUGUAAGUACUUUGGAAACUCCAUGUAGGUUUCGUAUCAGGAUCCCAGAUAUACUACAACCACGUUAGUCAUGCUGCAAUCAAUCACAUGGUGUAUGAGAGAAGCCUUGCGCCACAAGACAUAAUAUUGCACUAUUUCAUUCAUCUCAUUUGUCAUGGAUUGAUUCUUCUAGUUGACCAAUCAGUUAUACGUUGACAAUAAUCAACGGAAUGUGGUUCGUUAUCGUCGUUUUUCAUUUAUGUCUGUAGUUUCCAUAUAAAUGAAACAUCAUCUAUGAUAAUCUCAUUCCAAUUCCAUAUCUCAUCCAAACUAGCAUAUAGGGUAAUGAAUAUUCAACUUCAAAACCCAACCGACAUGCAAUAUCCAUCGAAAGUCUUUGAUGUAAAUUCUCCAACUUAUCAAAUCAAAUAGAUUUGAUCAGAUAAUCAGGAUGGUGAGCCUUGAGCUUGUUAAUCUAAGCCACCAAUGUGGAGAAUGCAGCUUGCGGACAACAGCCACACGUGUGACCAACGUGUAAAAGCAUCAACCAAUACCAUAAAAUAUCUAAAUGGUCCACAUGGUGGUUGAAUCAAUCCACCAAUGUCCCCUUGAAUCCUUUGUAGAAAAGAUGGAAGGUGUUAAGGCAUGAUAUGUUUCCAGGUAUGAUGUUUUUACUUCUGGUAAAAGGAUGCUCAAAACUGCGCAUCAUGGAUCAUUCUAGAUAUCCCAAACAUACAUCUAUAGUGAAAAUUCCCUUGGAAUCUUAGGCUUCUGGCCGGCCACAUAUUCGGCUUGAAUGGGUGUAAUCCACUCGUUAGGCGUUCCAUCUUCUCUAGAAUAUGCUUGUGGCUAUAUUUAUAGGAAGUGCAAUAUGGUAAUAAGCCAAGGACUUUUACUUCAUUUUCUACAUUGGUUUCAAUAUGGUGAUAAUGCUCUCGAAGAUCCUUAAAGCUCAAAAUGCGUUCUUCCGGAACGAGUGAGUAUAAGGCUUCCCUUUAUAGUAAAAUUAGUACCAUUGGACAAUAUAGGGCAGUGCCAUGCCCCCACAAUCAGGUUAAAUAAGCCUGAAAGGUUGUCAGGGGAUGAUUAAGUAUGAAGUUAGCAUAGAACCAUAUUGCUAACUUCCCCACAAAACAUACCUAAGCAGGAGUUGAUUGUAUUAGGCACAUGUGGUAAUUUUUGUUAAUUAACUCUUAUUCGAGAAUAAUAGUGACAUCCAAACACCAAUCUUAAAUCCAAGAACAAAAUAAAUUAUUCAUAAAGUAAACCAAAUAUACACGGGGGUUCAGCCAGUGCGACCUUCCAUGUCAAAUCUCGCUAGACAAAAAUGUGUUAGGUGGAGCAAAAUUAGUCUCACAUAUUGACUAUGGGAAUAGUACUCUUCAACAACAUUGGUAGAAGCACAAAAAAAUGCAUAACCAAUGAUCUAUUUUGUCAUAACUGAAUUAGAUUUUGCAGGAUUAAGGUUUAGGAAUACUAUCCCUUAUUCUUGAAGUUUUAAGUAUUAGGUGCUAAGGAUCAUGCUUCGAGCAUGAUGCCACCUUUUAGAAAACCUUGAUUCUACCAUAUGUUGUAAAACAAACUUGAAAUGAGAUUGUGAGAGAGAGACAGACAUACCUAAACUUAGGUUCGAUAGGCUUCAGCAGAAGCUGGAGGGGUCUGUUCGGUAGGCCUCUGCCAAACCAGAACAAUAUCGUUCGGUGCACCUCUGCCAAAGCAGAGCAUGAAAGUCGGUGCAUCCCUGUCGAAGCAGGGCACCACCAUUCAGUAGACUCAAGCCAAAACUGAGUCUUCAGGCCAAUAGGAAGAAUUGGGUGAAAAAUAUAAAGCCUAAAUAAAUUGGACCAAAAACAUAAGCCCAAAAUUGGGAGUGUUAUGGGAGUAGGCCAGGGCUACAAGCCUAGUAGUUCAAGAUUUGGGCUGCAUAAGCAAGCCCAGACACAGAGGCCCAAAUGAGGGUGCACUCUAGUGCCUCGCGAUGCAGGUGCACUGGGUCACCAGCUAUUGGCUAGGAUUUGGUGUUACACGGAGCGAAGGACAAUGUGUGUGUUACGGGCCGAGAUAGGAGUAACAGGGGGCUGUUGCUGGCAAGCCUAAUAGAAAAUAAUUUUUUACUACAAGCCAAGGUAAGCCUAGGCCUAAAAGGAAAAAAGAGUCGUGUGUUUGUCCAACCAGGAAUCCUAGCCCUGCUGGGUGAGUUCACCGGGGAAGAAAACCGGAGUCGUCGCUUCUGUUAAGCAUUGUAGAAGUAGAAGAAGGAAAAAGAGAAUAUUAUUAUCAAGGUUCUAAAAAACGCUAGGCACUAGUCGGGCGGCGGGCUAACGCCUAAUGCCUAGGCGACCUAGGCGGAUUUAGGUAAAUUUCUUGUAUAUCUUGUAAAUAAGUGCACAUUAACAUAUCCAAAAAAUUAUACUUGUAUGAAAUUCAUGGAUAAGAUAAUAAAAGAAUAACAAAAUACAAAAAAAAAAAGUAUCUAACAAAUCCAAAAUUUAAAAACACAUUAAGCAUAUAUGCCAUAUAACUUAAAGCAUUUUGAAUGAUUAUAUCUAAUUUAAAAAAAAUAAAAGUAAUAAUAUUGGGUUGGAUGGUUCAUAAUAAAGAGAAAAUUCUGAUGUCAAUAUGGUGGUUCAUAAUAAUAUUUUUUAGAGAUCAUAUUAAUUUAUGUUGAAUUUAAAGAGAAAUAAAGGUGUUAAACAUGUGGAUGUGGAAAGGGCACACCCAUAAUUACCAUUAAUUUAUGUCAAAUAUGUGGAUGUGAACGCAUGGGAACUCUGCUGUCUGCACCAAUACUUAAUGGUGACAUCUUCAACCUGACACACCCAUCAUUUUUUAGGAGAAAAAACAAGGAACCGAACUGACAGCCUAUGGCUUUUUACACAAAGCAAGCAAUUUGAUGCUGGCUGUCCAAAUUUGAUUGGAGAGAAACUAAGAAAAAAAUUAAAUAAGAAGAGUGUGUAUAGUGGUCACGUGGUGUGAAAGGAAGAGAGAGAACGUCUUCGUCUUCGUCUUUCCUCUUUCGCCAAACCGAGCGAGAACCAGAAAAAUCUGCAUUCUUGAAAACAUAACAAAAUUGAAAUUCCUGGACCGCCUAGGCCUAGGCCACUCAGUCGCCCGCCUAGGACGCCCAAGGGCCGCCCAGGCUGUCUCGGCGGCCGCCUAAUCCCUAUCUCGAUUUUGAGUUAAUCCCCUCGGCAGGCCACUGCCCAACGCCUAGGCGGCCGCCUAAGCCGAUUUUUAGAAUACUAAUUAUUAUCACUUCAAUUCUUUUCGUGAAAGAAAAAGAGAGUCAAACUCAUUUUGGGAAUAUCGAAGUAUGUGUUGAAAUUGAGUCCUCUUGUAUACUUGACUUUUAAUCCAAACGUUCAUUUAUAAAUCUAAAUGGUUGUUUGAUAACUAUUUCUUAAUUAUAUUUUUUUUUUAAAAAGGAAAACCAAAAUCUAAAAACUAAAAACUAAAAUGGUUAUAUAAGUCUGUAAAAAUUCACCCAUUUUGUUUAAGACUAUGGUAAAAUAUGUCAUAACCUUUAGAUUUUUGAUGAAAAAAUAACCAAGAGAACAAGAUGAUCUCGGUCUCUAGGUUUUCUACCUCUAAAAUUGUGAACUGACAUUUCGAUUUAGAGUUCCUAAAAUUCUUACACGUUUGCUUGCACGUGUACAGAAGGUAUGUUUGCUUAACCCUUCUUCUUGAGGGAUAUCAUUUGUCAUUAUUCAUAUUUUUUCAGAUGAUUUGCUAUGUUGCAUGUCUAAUUUCAAUUCUUUCGGGCAUUAAUAACCUGACGCAACUUGGACUUAAAAUGUUUGUCAUUUGAUAGUUUUUGUGAUAUUUUAAUUUGUUUUGAAAACUGAAAAAGGUUUUAGAAGCCACUGGUGCCGUAAAUAAUUUAACACUAUCCAAUAUGAAUAUAAAGCAGUAAAUCCCAGAUUGACAUAAAUAACCUCAUUAAGUGUCUCCACAGAAUCUGCUUCAAGAAUAUUUCAUGAAUUAGGAACUGAAACAAACAGAUACAUCAAUAUGUCAAAGAUAGAAAUUUGUAGUGGUAGUGCGCUCGUGAAAUGUCAUUCAUGUCACUAAUAAAAGCAUCUUUACGUUCAUUCAGCAUAUAUUUCUGGUCACCUAGUCACAUCUGGUUGGUUGUCUGGGCUAGAUGCUAUGGUUGUUUGGCUCACUGAAUAAUUUGAUUAUAGUUGAGAGCCAUUGUCAUCAGCUCUUGUUUUUUUGGUGCGUGGGAUUGAAUUUAUGUGGUGCAUGGGUUUGAGUGUUUAGCUGUUUCCAGAUUGUGCAGAGUACAAAGAGAAGUUGAUACUCUUUACUAUUUGACAAUAUGCUACAAAAAGUUUCUGUAAAAUGGGGACUCAGCAUACAUGUUUUAUCUGUAUGCCACUAUUUAAUAUUUUUAUUUUUAUUUCUUUUUGAGUUAAACAAAUCCGUUGUCGUCCAGCGGUUAGGAUAUCUGGCUUUCACCCAGGAGACCCGGGUUCGAUUCCCGGCAACGGAACUUUUGUGUAUUUAACACAAUACGUUGAAAUGAAGGAAAGCUUAUUUAUUGAUAUCCCCGAUAAGCUACAAAUAUGUACAUAUACAUGAGUCAAAAUAAGCACACAAGAGGGAGCCUUCACAAAGGUUGCUUAGGAGAAGUCUCAGCAGUCGGUAGAGCCCCAGAAAGAGAAGGCACCGGAGGGGGAUCAUUUGGAGCCUCAGUACUGGACAGAACCCUAGAAGGAGGAGGCAUCAGAGGUUGAUCAUUUGGAGCUUCAUUACGCGGUACAGCCCCAGAAGACGAAGGCAAUAAAUGCCUUUGGAACAAACCCACAAAUCUCUGAUGAUCAAGUAAAACCUGGCCAUCAGUUUCCUUCAUCUGGUCAAGCUUCCUCUUCAUGUUUGUAGCAUAGUCAUGUGCGAGCCGGUGCAACUGUUUUAUUCUCAUGCUUGAGCCCUCUAAUCUCCUGUUUGAGACCAUCACUUCAGCCGCCAAUGAUUCAACUUGGCGGGUUCGAGCAAAUAGGCGUUGGGCCAUAUUAGACACAGAACCUGCACACUGAACACUGAGAGCCAGCGAAUCCUUAACAGCUAACUCAUCAGACCGUUUGGAAAGUAGUCUGUUAUCUUUGGGAGUGAGAAGGUUCCUGGCCACCACCGCAGCGGUCAUAUCAUUCUUCAUCACGGAAUCCCCAACGGUAAGAGGACCAGUAGGGGAGACGAAGGAUGGGCGCCAUAUAUGUUGUCUGGAGAAGGCGGGGCUGCCUCUUCAACAAGGUUCAAGUCAAAACGACGGUCGGAGGGGCCAGACAUUUUCAAAGGUGUUGAAGAGAGAAGAGGUCGGACAAAUCAAGAUCUUAGAAGUGCAAGAAUGAAGCUUCUACUGGUGGAGAUUCAAGUGUGCUUUGGAACUUAAUGCCAGCCCCUAUAAAAAUCUGCACUCGACGAAGCUUCAGAAAUCGAAGAGGCGCCUGCUCAGAAAUCGAAGAGGCGUUUGCUUUCUCAAAAAGCUGGGCUGCUUAGAGAUCACGAGGGUUGAUCUCAGAAAUCGAAGAGGCGUUUGCUUUCUCAAAAGUUGGGCUGCUCAAAGACCACGAAGGCCGAUCUCAAAAAUCGAAGAGGCGCUCGCUUUCUCAAAAGCUGGGCUCCCCAGAGACCACGAGGGCCGAUCUCAGAAAUCGAAGAGGCACCUACUUUUCCAGCCUUUUCCAGCCUUGUCAGCACCUGUCACACGCACACUCAGUUUUGCGGAAAUUAUGGGCAUUCUGUUAAAGACUUCUGGGGAAGUAGAAAACACAUGAAUCUUACUGUUCAAUCACCCACUUCCCACACGCAACAAUAGCUCAUGGGUACCACAGAUAACUUUGCCAAAGUUCUCUGCCAAAGUUGAGCACGUGAAGCUUGCAGCUCCCACUACAUCGCUCUGACCAAGAAAGGUAAAAGAAUAGCAAAGAAACAGCACUAACAAAGUUUAGACCCAUAAAUUUUGAAGGUCUAGCUACCAUAUUAUUACCCACAAGGGUAAAGGAACAGUACCACUGCUGGAUAAUUGGAAAGUCCCUGUGUGUCAACCUCUGUGCUUCGUGGCAAGGUAGACUAGCAAACAUGCCCAACCUUUACUCACAUUCGAGAAAACACUCCCAAUAAGAUUGCUUGCUCCAAAAUCGAAGAGGCACCGUCCUCCGAAUCUCAAGAGCCAGACUCCCAACAUGACUACUUUCUUAAAAAUCGAAGAGAGGGUAAAGGAACAGUACCAUUGCUGGAUAAUUGGAAAGUCCCUGUGUGUCAACCUCUGUGCUUCGUGGCAAGGUAGACUAGCAAACAUGCCCAACCUUU
rnacentral:lncRNA from 1 species